rnacentral:lncRNA from 1 species
ACACACAGAUAAUAAUAAUAAUCAUGUUUCCAUAAAAUUGCUAAGUCCAGAGAUAAUACAUAAACAUAGUAGACUGUUCAUGACACAUAUCACGGUGGACAGUGUUUGUGUCCUUAUUACAAGCAACGAGAGAUGCUCGUCACCAACACGCGCGCGCACAGAUGCACGACAUACAUAUAGUAGAGACCAACAGAUGGUCGUCCCAUAUGGUGAACAAUUUAUUGGAGAUAAAUAUUAACGUAACUUGGCCAUAGCUUGAAGCAUAGCAACAUAUGCCUAUGAGUGGCAUUCAUGCUAUCGUUUUAGGCUUGUCCAGCUCCUUCCAUCUUAGCAAGCACUUCCAUUUCUACCAUCUUAGCAGCAACUGUCAAAUUGAGAUACGGAAAUCCCAUUAGCGCAUGAGUUAAUUUUGCAGUGGAAAUAGAGUACAAGAUGUCUUCAUGAUGUAAGUAAUAUGCCUGAAGUUGUGAGAUGGGAAGUGAAGUCAACAAAUUACAUUAACGGAAAUGCAUGGAAGGCCACACAUACGUAUUAGUCCAUGAUAUGCUACAAAGCUUGUAUGUACAUAUAGCAAAUUAAAUGCAUUAAUUGAAUAGAGUGUGUUUAGUGAAUUUACCAGAAUCGUCCAGAAAACAUGGGAAACAGCAAGUGUUCUUGCAGACUGCGUCGGAGGCACCCGCACGAAUACAAAGCUGACAACAUAGUUUUGCCUGGGCGGAUGCGCAGCAGCCGCACUCCGCCGCGGUGGGGUUAACAUUGAGGCUCAAGAUGACCAGGCACAUGAUCACCAUCAAAGUGGUAGUCCUCUUUCCCUCCAUUGCCUCCUCUUAGCUUGCUGCUACCUUCCUUGGUUACCUAGCUAAGUUUAUUGGUUUUGUGUUGAGAGGUGUGAUUCUUGAAUGGACGUUGCCGGCGGCAAUUUAUAGGCAGCUGAGCUAUGUGAUGAUAUGGACUAGGUGCAAAUGGGUGGUUAAUGGCAAGGAAAGGGGCGUCAGACAAAGCCCAAUGGCAACUGCUGACAUGCGAUUAAAUUCAGAUCCACAUCCGGCCAUUCAAUAAUACGGUUGGAGUUGUGGCACAGAUAUAUUAUUGCAUGAUCAUCAAGAUAAGAUCGUACAGUGACUGAGUGAGACAAUAAAUAGCCAAGUAAACUAUUUUAUCCUGCUGCAAGCUGCAUUCAUAAGUUUAUUUCACCUUUGAUCACAAUACUCUUCACACACGUACGUCUCAGGGAGAUCUCACUUCCGCUGGACUGCUCACUUCCGCUGUCGUCGGUACUGCCAAAGACAUAAGCUCACAUCUGCUAUUGCGGAGCAGGCCAAUUUGCUGCGGAACUUCGGCGACGACCUGAAGGACAUGAACUCGGUGCUGGAGUCCAUCUCAGCAGCGCUCUAGGACGCUGACACCGGUAGAAAAACGACCUUCCAUCGUCAACAAAAAUCCCGGUAGCUUUUUUACUCGGUACUAAAGAGGUUUUAAUCUCGUGCAAACACCUUUAGUCCGGAUUGCUGUUACCACGCAACCCGAACUAAAGCGUCCCCCACGAGUUACUAUAUAAGGAUUGCAUCCUUUACUCAGUCAGAUAUAAUGUGUAGGUGAGAUGGUAAGGAAGCUAUACGUGAGGCUUCAGGUUGUGGGUUCGAAUCCAAGGAGAAGUGGGUGCAGCUGUGGCUUAAGCGGCUGAGGCACGCCGCCAUAGACAUCUCAGAUUUGCUCGAAGACUACCAAGACACUAGUGAACCCUUAACAGUAAAGGUGAGUACUUAUGAAUGUCAGCAUCCAUGUUGUCCAUGCUUCCAAUGUAAUAACAAGAUGGACUACUCUUCCUAGCGGACUCUUCACAACCACUCGUAAAGCUAUACGUUUCUCAAUGCAAUUUCGUAGAAGCCAAUCGAUCCAACCAAGUGACUAAAUCAUUCAUCCUUUCCAAUGAUGUGCAUCAGGUUUUCUACAUGAAGGGCAUCUCUAGCAAACCCAAGAUUUCAGAAGAAAAAGAAAAAUCAUUGGAGCCAAAGAGCCACAUAGUUCUUCCAGGAAAAAAAAAUCAUGGGAGUCGAGAACAAAUCAAACCAAUCAGAGGAUUAUGGUCAGCUUAAUGGCAUGCCUCCAUUCGAUGUCGAAGUUCACCCAAGCAUCAUGUUAGCCAAACAUCAAAUGUUCGUGCGUUGUUACGGUAAAGAUCAAUUGUGUUUUUUAAACUCAUGGAAUUUUUUUUCUAAGUUUUUAUUACACUUAUUGGAUGUCUACACAUUUGCUAGAAAACCAAAAUAAUUUGGACUUAAUUAUUUCUUUCAACUGAAGUACUCACUAAAUUUCUACCUUUUUAUUUAAGCAAGAGAGUUGCUAAAAAAAAUGGAUACAUAACCAUGUUGUAUCGUACAAAGCAACCACAUUUCACAUAUAGUCCGGCUUACCAAACACCAUUUUUUACUGAACAUAGCGUACAUGAGUUAAGAGACAUGGAUUUAUUUCUAUUGCAAGUAGCAUAGCGUACAACCUGCCUGCACCGAUGCAGCUCAAUAUGCGAUAAUUUUUAUCUUCCCAUGUAAUUUUUCUACUCUAGUACAUAUUGAACUCCACAUUAAUGUCAUGUUCUUUGGCGCCCCAGACGGUUCCUAAAGUUUGGAAACAAAAUAGAUAGCCAGAAAUUUUUUUAAAAAAUAUUUAUAUGGAUAUUUGUAUGUUCUUUGCAAACUAACAAUAUUGUUUACCAAUAUCAAAAGGAAUAUGGCUAGGAGCCAUUGCCGCAUAUGGCAGGUGAUGGUAGAUGGCGUAUGGGAUUUCGUUAAUUUAAUGGUAUAAUAAGCUGAAAUACAUUUUCUAUUUGCAAAUGAAUCAUAGCUGAAAGUGGUGAGAUUGUUUUUUCGCCGGUUUAGCAUCCUGUGCACCGGUUCAACUGGAGGGAAGCGGUUCACCGAGACGGAUGACAAUUUUACGGCAGAAUCAUUACUUGUUUUAUUAUUAGGUGAAGAUUUUAGCUUUUAGGUAUCUCACAUUAACAAUCUGUUUCUAGUGUAUAAUGUAGGAGACCCGUAAAGAGUCUACACACACAUAUAUAUGUUGACUAUGAAUGUAAGUUUGUUGGUUUUAUGUAUGUUCAUUUGGAGUUUAUAUAAAUUUUACAUUUUAUAGUUUUGUGUAUAUGACGAAGAUCCAUGACUUGCAUUAAUUUAACCUUUCUUCCAACAACUCUUAUGCAUGCUGUUUCUAGGGGAGCGCACUGGUUGCAAUUUUGGUCCCCGAUAUAGCAUGAGGACUUAAGGGAGACGGGCACGUCGUAACCUUAGAUAUUUUUGCAAGAAGCAAAUUAUACUUUGCUUUUGAUUUUCUCCAUGCCAUUUGCUGACUCUUAUCCCUUUUAUUUAUCAUUAUAAGAUGAAAAUAUUGUAAAAACUUGGUUACGUGCGGUCGCAGAAGCUAGAGACUAUUUCUUUUUUUAAAAAUACGCAAGAGGGAGAAACUUGGUAACAGCUAGACAGUGAAGAUCGCAUUUCAUAAGAAAGAUGGUGCACGUUCUUGUUUGGCUGUUAACGAAAUGACUUCGUUUCACCACACCACCAGAGAGCCCCAUUGCACUUGCAGCAAAAGCGUGGAGCCGCUUUCAACCAGCGUGCAAUAAUGCAGUCCCGCGUGUCUUGGUCUUACAGGAUAUUUGGUUCUUUAGUCCGGACUAAAAUUCAUGUCGCAUAGAAUAUUCAGAUGUUAAAUAGGAGGACUAAACAUGAGCUAAUUAUAAAAAUAAUUACACAAAUGGAGGCUAAUUCCCAAGACAAAUCUAUUAAGUCUAAUUAAUCCAUCAUUAGCACAUGUUUACCGUAGCACCGUAUUGUCAAAUCAUGGACUAAUUAGGCUUAAUAAAUUCGUCUCGCAAGUUAGUCUCCAUCUAUACAAUUUGUUUUAUAAUUAGUCAAUGUUUAAUACUCUAUCUAAACAUUCAAUGUGACUGAAAUUUUAGGAGGUCCUAAAGAACCAAACACCCCUUAGUCUCCGCCUGAACUAUAGCAGGUGCUGGCAGCGGUAGCAGGGUCGUCCAUUAUAUCUAUGGAUGGAAAUGAUCUGAUUCGGAUGGAAUCGAAUUCGAAUAGCACUUUUUACCACAUACUAAUCUGAAUUGGAUGUUCUCGAAUGUGAAUGCAAAACGGAUAGUUCAAAUUUGAAUACUUUGCGGAUUUUUGCAUAAUAUUAAUCGAAGAGAAUUUGUUAAAUUUAGCCGAGACAUAAAUUUUUCUAAAUUCAAAUACUUUGCAGAUUUUCGAAUGCAAAUUUUUUCAUACGAUCUCGGUUGAAUACAAACUUUAUAUCAAAGUUGUAUAUUUAGAUUAUAUAUAAAACUUUGUAGUUGACCUCCUUUUCAUUUAAAAUUUUUUAAUAGCUCAAAACAUUAUUCUAAGCUUUCUAAUUUCAAAAUCUUGAAUUUUAAAUUUUUCAAACGACCUCGGAUGCAAACAAGCUCUAUAUCAAAGUGCUUAAUGAGAUAUAAAAUUUUGUAGUUGACAAGUUUUUUAGUUGAAAACAUUUAGUUAUCACAAACAUACAAGUUCUUCAUUUGAUGUCGAGGAUUGGAAGUGUUGAGUUUGAAGAAUAUAUUCUUUGAUUACAAACUUUUCCAUAUGAUCUUGGAUGAAUACGAACUUUAUUUCAAAGUUGCAAAUUUAGAUUAGACCAAAAACAGUAUAGUUUACAAUUUUUUCAUUCAAAAUUAUUUAGUAGCUCAAAAUGUUAUUCUAAACUCUCUAAUUUUGAAAUCUUGAAUUUUAAAAUUUUCAAAUGACCUCGGAUGCAAACAAGCUCUAUAUCGAAGUGGUAGUUCUUAAUGAGAUAUAAAAUUUUGUAGUUCCAUCUGAGAUCAUUUAACAGUCACAAAUAUACAAGUUUUUCAUAUGAUGCUAAGGAUCAGAAAGAUUAAGUUUGAAGGCUGUAUUUUUUUAAUACAAAUUUUUGCAUACGAUCUCGGAUGAAUACAAACUUUAUAUCAAAAUUGUAGAGCUCGAUGAGAAUUUAAACUUUGUAGUUGAUAUAUUUUUCAUUCGAGAAUGUUUAGUGGUCCAAACAUGUAUUAUAAGUUCAGAGAAGAAACACACAAUCGGCCACGUCAUCAAUUGACAACUUCCAAACUGAGCAUUCCUAUUGGUUCACACCUUUCCCUUUCAACUCGUCAAGCUUAUCUCCUCCCACUCCUCCAUCGUUCACUCCCCCUUCCCCUUCCUCUCUCCCUCCCUCCCUCCGCUCCAGCAGUGGCAGCCCGACCUGCCUCCUAGGACGGUGGUGUGCGGGGCUCGGGCAUCCCUGGCCUCUAGUGGCGUGGCAGGGCGGCCUCCAGCAGCGAUGGCGGAACUCGGCCUCCGGUGGCGCACAGGCAGCGCAGCCUACCUGGUCAAAGGCGGCGCAACAGGGCGACCUCCCCAGCCUCCGGCGGCGCGCAGGGCAUCCAUGACCUCCCCGGCCUCCCUUGCCAGAGGUGGUGCGCGGGGCUGCGCCGACCUCCCCAACCAGAGGUGGCAAGGCCCCAGCUUACGGCGGCGCGUGGCUCCCCAGCUAGGGUGUGGUGGGGCGGCGGCAAGUCAGGCGUGGCCGCGUGGGGGUGGGGGGAGGGGGUUGGGCUGGGCGGAUUCAGAUAGUAUCCAUUUAACCAUCCGAAAUGUGGAUAUCCGUUUAACAAUCCGUUUAGCAAAACCGAAUUUGGAUACUUCCACUUAAGUAUCCAACUAGGAUUCGAAUGCGGAUGGUCCUACCAUAUUGUUAUUUCAGCGGAUACGAAUAUGGGAUAAUUCGAAUAACGACUUACCCAUCCCUGAUUAUAUCCGUGUAAAUAAAUAAUUGCGGCAGCAGGUUCCCGUCGCCACGCCCCCGUCAAACCAAACAAUUGCUUGCGCGACACCGUGUUACUAGAUCUUGUACAGUACUCCCUCCGUUGCAGUACUCCCUAAUGAAAGUUGAGAAUCGAUCGACAACCACGGCUAGUUGCUAUGCACUCGAUCAGAUGGUCCAGGCGCCCGCUGGUAAUCAGGUCGUGGUUCACGCGCAUCAGGCCAGCUAUGACGUUGCCAGCAGUGCUCAGUACACAAAUCUAGCUAUCAGUCGGAUCCAAUUGGGCAGGCAUUUGCACUGUGGUUGUGUUUGAACCUGUAGAUGUCGUUGUCAUUAUCAGGCACCAUACAUCCUCUCUCAGAGGGUGUUUCACCCCCUAAACUUUAGCCCCUCUCACAUCGAAUGUUUUAGAUACUAAUUAGGAAUAUUAAACAUAGAAAAUUUACUAAACCCAUUACAUGGAUGGAGGGUAAACGGCGAGACAAAUCUAUUAAAUCUAAUUAGUCCAUGAUUUGACAAUGUGCUGCUAUAGUAACUAUUUGCUAAUGAUGGAUUAAUUAGACUUAAUAGAUUUUUCUUGCUGUUUAGCCUCCGUCUGUGCAAUUAGUUUUAUAAUUAAUUCAUAUUUAGUCCUCCUAAUUAGUCUCCGAAUAUUUGAUGUGACACGGACUAAACUUUAGAUAGCACACCAGGGACCGACACCAUGCAUGCUGAUUUCAUAUCAUAAUUAAGGAAAGUGAUAUCAUAAUUAAGGAAAGUGGUAGCAUCCAAGAAAUCGAUCAUGUUUCUUCCCCCUUUGGCUUUCCUACUAGGAUUUGGAUAGCGGGCCUUCCUACUAGGAUUUGGAAUCCGCUAUCGCAUGACUAUCUUAAUUAUGUCCCAUAGUCCAAAACUCACAAAACAUCAAAAAUCCAUCGAGAAUAAAUUAAGUAAAAAACAUGCGCACACAGAUAAUAAUAAUAAUAAUCAUGUUUCAAUAAAAUUGCUAAGAUUAGAGAUAGUACAUAAACAUAUUAGAUUGUUCGUGACACAUAUCAUGGUGGAUAGUGUCUGUGUCCUUAUUACAAGCAGCGAUAGAUGCUUGUCACCACACACACGCACGCACAGAUGCACGACAUACAUAUAGUUGAGACCAACGGAUGGACGUCCCAUAGGGUGAAUAAUUUAUUGGAGAUAAAUAUUAACAUAACUUGGCCAUAGCUUGAAGCAUAGCAACAUAUGCUUAUGAAUGGCAUUCAUGCGGGUAGCAAUGCUAUCAUAUGCUUUUAGGCUUGUCCUUAGCUUCUUCCAUCUUAUAGCAAACACUGCCAUUUCUUCCAUCUUAGCAGCAACUGUCAAAUUAAUUGAGAUAUGGAAAUCCCAUUAGCGCAUGAGUUAAUUUUGCAGUGGAAAUAGAGUAGAAGAUGUCUUCAUAAUGUAAGUAAUAUGACUCUGACAUAGGGAGUGAAGUCAACAAAUUACAUUAACGGAAAUGCAUGGAAGGCCACGCAUAUGUAUUAGUCCGAUAUGCUACAAAGCUUGUAUGUACAUAUAAUAAAUUAAAUGCAUUGAAUAGAGUGAUUUUAGUGAAUUUACCUAAAUCGGAUUAAAAAACAUGGGAAACAACAAGUGUUCUUGUAGGGCUUUGUUUAGUUCCCAAAUUGGGAGUAGCAAAGUUUGCAUUUUACCAUAAAUGCGCAACUAUAGCAUGUAGCAUUUUGUUUGUAUUUGUGAAUUAUUAUCCAAACAUUGACUAAUUAGGCUCAAAAGAUUCAUCUCGCAAAGUACAACAAAACUGUGCAAUUAGUUUUUGAUUUCGUCUACAUUUAGUACUCCGUGCAUGUACCGCAAGUUUGAUGUGAUGGGGAAUCUUGCUUUUCAAUAGUGACAAAGUUGGGAUUUCGGGGGGAAGGCCUGUGUCGGAGCCACAUGCAAGAAUGGCUGACAUUGAGGCUCAGACAAAGCCCAAUGGCAACUGCUGACAUGCGAUUAAAUUUAGAUAUCCACAUCCAGCCAUUCACAUUUAUGAGAUAUGGACACGGUGCAAAUGGGUGGGGUCCUGAUAUGGAGGUGCGAAUGGCUGUCUACUUGUAUAGUGUAGCUCCAAUGUACGUAUAUGUAUCUUAUGCAUGUAUACAGUUGCACAAACUCUGAACCAACUCUUCAUAACAGGUCUUUGUUACCAAGUAACUUUACUUUUGCACGUUUCAGCCGAGAGGUAGAAGAGAAUAUUUUUGCAUUUUCCAUGUGCGUCAGUGGUAGAGAACUAGGAAUUAGUUCCGGAUGGUAGGGCACAAAUCUUCCAAACAACUAUCCGAAAUUAAGCAAUCGAGAUAAAGGGUGCCAUCUAUUCUCUCCGAAAAACACAGGUACCAAAAAGAAGAAGAGAAGAGGGAGGGCCUCCCGUUAAGGCCCGCUCGGGGUCUCCAUCCCACCACGCGCCCUCCCAACCCAAAGCCCAUCGUUUUCCCUCCGUCCCUCCCCUCUCCAUUGCCGCCGCCGCUCCCCUCAUCCGAGCUCGAUACGGGUGGUCGGCGGCCCCUCCUCUCCGCUCCCGCCCCCGGCCUCCCUUUGACCGCCGGGCGCCGGCAUCACUGCCGCGGCCAACCCCAGGGCGCAGCGCGUGCCUCUAUUUCUCUCCCCCGUUCAAGGGCCCUUUGAUGGCGACGAGCACCCACCCACCAGGUAUGCCCUCCCCUUCUCUUCCUAACCCUAAUAUAUUCGGAUCUCACCCAGUCACAAUAUAUUACCUAAUAGCUUCGAUUUUGUUUGCAAAAAUCAUCACGUGCGCACCCAUGUCCGCUAGAUUCUUGCGCCUGAUCCUGUGCUGCUAUGGUUUGGGCGGGGUAGACUAGUUGAUUCGUGCACUUUUGGGUGCUUGUAGUGCUAGGUUUUGGAGGGGGAUAGCCCAGUUGAUUCCUCCGUUUUGGGUGCUCAUGGUGAUAGGAUUUGGAUGGGGAUAGCCCCAAUGAUUCGUGCGCCUUUGGGUGCUGGGGAUAGUUUUGGGUGCCUGGAUAGUCCAGUUUCAAUGUCAGUAUAUGCGUAUUUUGGGGAGAAUUUUGUUUUGGGUGGUUCUGGUGCUAGAGUUUCUGAUGCUUAGUAGCCCAGUUUCAAUCAAAUUCCCCCAUGGGUCGUGCACUACGGGAAACAAGAAAAUUGCCGAGUGUAUUUUUUUUGUCGAGUGUUUUUUUUCGAGCACUCAGCAAACAAGCUCUUCGCCGAGUGCCAAGUCAAAAACACUCGGCAAAAAAAAACACUCGGCAAAUCGGGGCUUUGCCGAGUGUCAAAUAAAAAACACUCGGCAAAGAAGGGGGUUUGCCGAGUGUUAAAAAAAACACUCGGCAAACAGGAGGGUUUGCCUAGUGUUUUUUUGACACUCGGCAAAAAAAUAAUUGUUUUUCCUCUUUUCACCUUGAAAUUUUUUCUACUCCCCACAUACAACACGUGGUACUCCAUGUUAAAAUUUGGUAUAUUUUUGGAUUUAUUUGCUAUAUUUAUUUAAUUAAUUGCAUUACAAGGAAAUUUUUGGUAUAAGUCAAAUUUGAACUGCAAGUGAUUCAAAUUGUGGAACAAAAUGAGUAGAAAAAUGAUAUUCAUGUUAUUUGGCUCAAUUUGAGACCUGACCCAUGAAAUGAAAAGAAAUUUCGAACAUCUUGUUCAGGAAACACGACAAUGAACAUGUGGCGGUAGUAUUUUUAAAUUGUAAAAAAAACAAGCAAAGUCUGAAAAUCAUGAGAUUUGUAGUUAUGUGAUGAUAUAAUACGUGGAAGCUGUGGAAAAAAAUUGGAAAGGUUUUGCACAUUUCAUCAUGUACGAUGAUUACAAACCGAAGCAUAUCAGAAGAAGAAUAGUAACUUUGAGAAGGAUUCGAUAAAAUUUAGAGUCGAAGUGACGGUCGAGUUCGGUUUGACUACAAAACUUUUUGUAUAGUCAGUAGAGAACAUAUCUUAUUUCGUGUGAAAAUUUGGUAUUUUUUGAAACUGUUGGAUAUUUUUAAUUUUUUUUUAAAAAAACUUUGCCGAGUGUCCUAGGGUAGACACUCGGCAAAGAAAAACUUUACCGAGUGCCCGCCUAGGACACUCAGCGAACCUUUUUUUAAACCUACCGGCUCCGGCCGGCCCAGCCCACAAACACCACCCGCCCCCCGCCCCCGCGCCUUCUUCCUCACGCCGCCCCCGCCCCCCACCCGUGCCUCCGGACCGCCCCCUCCUCCCCCUGGCCUCCCCUCACGCCGCCCCCCUCCUCCCCUAGCUCCCUCCACCGGCGGCCCUCCCUCCCCCGGCGCACAUCCUCCACUCCUCCUCCCCUUCCCUUCCCUCCCCUCCCCUCCCCUCUUCCUCCCCUGGCCGGAUCUGGCGCCCCUAGCUCCCCUUUCUUCCGCGGCCAGAUCUGGCGCCCUCCCGGCGGCGGGUCGUGGCGAUCGGGGCGGCGGCGGCGGAUCAGGCCGCGGGGCGGCGGCGGCGGCGGGUCGUGGCUACCGGGGCGGCGCCCUGCCCCUCCCCUCCCUCUCCAUCUCCGGCUGCCGUCCACCCCCUCCCCGGAUCCGCCCCCCUCCCCUCCGCGCGGCCAGCCCCUCCUCCCUCUCCGGCCGCCGCCCCGGCCCCUCCUCUCCCUUUCUCCGGCCACCGCCCCGCCCAUCUUCUCUGGAUCCGGCCGGAUCCGGCCGCCGCACAGCCCCUCCUCCCCGGAUCCGGUGGGCGCGGACUUCGUGGUGGUGGCGCCGGAUCCCUCCCCUCCCUCUCCAGAUAACUCCCUCCACUCCUCCGCUCUUCCCCUCUCUCGCGCGGCGGCCUCUCUCCGGCCGCCGCCCCGCCCCUCUCCCCGGAUCCGGGGGGGGGGGGACUCCGCCCCUCUGCCCCGGAUCCAGCUCCCCGACCCGCGAGUGGGGCGAGCUUGCUCAUGCGGUCGACGUCGAGGCCAGGGUGUGGUGGAGGUGGUGGCCGGCGGGUGUGGUGGUGGUGGCGGCGGCGGGCAUGGCGGCGCGGAGGCAAGGCACGGCGGCCGGUGGGAGGCACGGGUGCAAGGCGUCGACGGCAGGAGGCAAGGCACGGCAGCAUGGGAGGUGGUGCUGUGGUGGUGGUGCUGGCGGUGGUGGCGGCGGCGGAGCAGGAUGUGGUGGUGGCGGAGGAUGUUUUUUUUUCAAAAAUUUGUUGCCGAGUGUUUUCUCGGCACUCGGCAAAGACUUUACCGAGUGCCCGACACAAAACACUCGGCAACUCAGUGUUUGCCGACUGAAAAAUUGCCGUGUGCCGUUUGCCGAGUGUUACACUCGGCAAACGGUUCGCCGAGGGUUUUUUGCCCUUCGCCGAGUGCCCCUAGCACUCGGCAAUUUCACUAUCUCCCGUAGUGGUGGCUGGACUUAUGGGGGGAUCAUUGAUGGGGGACUAGUUGGAUACUUUUUGGCUGUUUUGGGAGUCCUUGGCAGCGGCUUCUCAGGGCGUACGUAGCCCAUUGUAGAUUCCAGCCGAGAAGAUUAAGGAAUUGUGACUGCAACCAUGUUACUUUUCUAGGACUCUGUUUCUGAUAUUGUUCCCGCUGCAUCUUUUCAUCCCCAUGGUGAAUGUUGCUGUUGAUCUGUAGAUUGGAUUUGUUCCUCGGUAGCUUUAUUAGAUUUGUGCUGAAUGAUAAUCUCUGCCUGUGAUAUUUUUCUUCAUUGCGGAUGUGUGCCGAGUAUUAUCCCCUUUGUUCAUUCUGUUGGCUUUUUUUAUUGUCUCUGUACUCGGCUGUUCAGCUUGUGCAGCUAAUGAUCUAAUGUAUUUUGUCGUAACUAUGUAUUUUUCGGAUGUGUGCCGAGUAUUAUCCCCUUUGUUUAUUCUGUUGGCUUGCUUUCAUUGAUCUUAAGAUAACUGGUGCUAUAAAUUCACACUAGCUGAUGCACUUGCAAAUAGCUAUGUAAAUAUGAAAAGAAGUAUUUUUUUAUCCUUUUGUUUGUUUGGCAUCAUAUCUGUUUAAAUGGCAUAGCAAUAAGAAUUUUUUGUUUUUGGGGAAUCAUAUCUGCUUAAAUGGUAUAGAAAAUGCUGAGUGCACUGUCAAAUAGAUUUUCCAGCAGUCUGCUUUCAGUUGUUUUUGCAAAUCCUCACAGGCCAGUGAACUGACUUUGUUUUUACCACCCCAUGCCAUUUAAAUGACUAAAUCAGUCAGCCUAAUACUAUAUAUGGUCAUGCUAUGAUCUUAUUUCUUGAAGCUCUAUAGGUCAACCCAUAAGGGUAACUUAGUUUUUCCUAUUCUGGCUGGGGAAGUGGAUACGAUGGCUAUCCUUGGUAGAGUUAAAUACAUUGGCGGCUCUUAGCGCGCCAAUGUGGCACCACAAUAUCGAACAUAUGUAGAAACCCCCUUGUUUUUUCUCAUAUCCCUCUCUCUCAGCGUCCUCUUCUCUUCUUCUCCUCUGUCUCCUCCCCUCCCAUCGCGUGCUUUAUUGCGCCGCCGCCAUCCGCCUCCAUGUAUGAACACGUCGUUUGUCAUGAAGAAGCAGUUGAUGAGGCAAUCAAGCAUGUGGUGCACAAGGUUCUUCUGCUGGCCAAGUCCGAGUCGAACAGCCGCGCAUUCAUUGGGGAAGCACGCGCCAGGCAUCACCAGGCUCCUCGUGCCCCUACUCUGCUCCAAGGACUCGGUGCUUCGACGCGCUGCUUUCCCUGUCCGGCGAGCGGGGAUCGUUGGGAGAUGAUCGAUGGAGGAUGGAGCUGAUCCUCCUGUACACGGUGCCGGUGGGGAGCAGGGAGCUGCGGAGCAGGUCCACGGGCGGCGCCAUUACAGCAGGUGCAGGCUAAGGGUAAUGAGCAGAUCGAGGCGAUGGAGGAGGACCCGCACGAGGUGCAGCUUCUUCGCCUCCUGCGCAAAGUCAGCGCCCAAGCAGCCGCUGAGGGACAGGCCGAGGCUUAGCUCGAUCUCAUCCGACUAAAUGGUGGCUGCACUCCCACAGUCCCACUGGUGCUCCUCCCUUCUGUCCGAACCUGCCGAGGAAAUCCCUCGAUGCCAUGGGUCCCGGCUGGACGACUACUCCUCCCACAGAUUGACUGAGGAAGAAGAGCUUCUCAGUGUCCAAAAAUUCAGUUACACUGGAAACAGCAACCAAUUACGUUCUUCCGGCUCAGCCAAGCCCCAAUCUCCUUGCUUCUGUGCGCCCCUGCUAAAUAUUCCAGAAACCAAUCUGGUUAGUUGUUUUUUCACAUUUUCAGUGCAUGCCGGUGCUGCUGUGUGCGGCAUGCAUGGAGUUGUCGUGGGAGUGCACGGUGGCUUAGCUGGUGCGCCAGUGCGCGGGCACGAACACAACGGUGAAGAUGGCAGGGCCAUCUCAAAGCUCCUGAGCACCUGCACGCGUCGCUGAGCAGGACAUGCUGCGACGGUGGGCGAGCGCUGCUAACGCCCUGGGGAAGAGCAGUGGGUGCAGAGAGAGGGAGCGAGGGAGAGGGGUUCUUGUAUAUGUUUGCUAGCGUGGCACCGUUUACGGUGCCCGCCUAAGUGGCAUUCACGUGUCAUUCAUCCCAAAUGGUGUUGCAAGGUUGAACCUAUUGUGGGAGGCUUUUGGUUUCCCUUGACAGUAUCACCAGUGAUAUCACUGCGUUCUGGUUAUGUAUGAAACACUUGUCCUUUUAAAACCUUUCUGAAUUUAGAAACGAAUUUGAAACAUUACCCUCAUUUCCAUGUUUUUCUAUCUUUUGUCCCUGUAAAAUCAAACUAAAUUUGAAUUAUUAUGUUCAGAACUACAAGCUGAUUUACUUGUCCCAUUUGCUAAUAACAGGGCCUUGUGAUUUCUAAUGAACAUUGCAGAGCAUGUUAUAAAGCGUAUGCAUGAACACCAAGGGGAUGAAACCAUUGGUAUAUUUCUCACAACCUUUUGAACUUAUCAUUUAGCAUAUUUGUGUUCUAGUGUGACGUUUCAGCCACGAGACAUGAGAAAUGUUAGCUAUGGAUUUUGGUUAUUCAUCAUGGGUUCACAGAUUUGUUUUUCUCUAAAAGAAUUGGGAAGUAGCUUUCUUUCUGGGUAUAUGUGGGGAAAUGCAUAUGCAAUCUUUUAUUUAUUGAGGUGACUGUAAAAUUCUUGUCUGACUGAAUAUGCGAUUUCAACCUACAUGCUAUACUUAGGGAAAUUUGUGAAUCUCCUAAUGUCUGCUGCAUGGCAUGAAUGCAUAUUUUACUGGUCCAUAAUGUGAAGUUCUGUAUAUAAACUUCUCGUGUUGACCCUUUAGAACAUGCUAACUGGAGAGUUUUCUAGAGUAGUUAAACAAGAGAUUUAGUUAAAUCUGCACACAUAGGUGGGGCCUGGCAUACCCUAAGAAUCGGCCUAGCCGGUCAGCCCAUUAGUAAAAAAAAAAGCACCGCAGUCAGCAGUCCCCACGUUGGUCUUCCUCGAGUCGCGACUCGCGAAGCUCCCAUCCUCCGAGUCCAAGAUGGUGGACUGUGUCGAGCGCGGGGCGGGCGAUUAGUUGCCCGGCCGCCGGCGGGGGAUGGCCGGACGGCCAGAUCGCCGACUCCUCUAGUCCUCCCUCCAGCCUCUGCGCUUCUUUCACAGUGGAGCUAGCGGCGAGGCGCCCGACCGACACCCUUCUUCCCAAAUCCCGGCAGCCCUACCUCGAUUUGGCCUCCUCCGAUCAUUUGAUAAUCAAUUUGAUGAAAUUAAUAUGGAGUUGCUUUCUUGUAUGGUUGCCUUCAAUCCUGCUAAUUCAUUUGCUUCAUUUGAUGCACAAAAGAUACAUAGACUUGCUAUAUUUUUAUCCACAAGACAUCACAAGCACGGAUUUGCUAAAACUUGAAUUCCAGCUCGAUAUUAUAUUGAUGAUGUGAGAUAGGAUGAUAGUUUCAAAGGCCUACAAGAUCUUGUUAACUGAGACUCAGUUAAGCUUGUUGAAACAAACAGGCAUAAUAUUUAUGACUUGGUUUACUUGCUUCUCAAAUUGGUAUUGGUUCUUCUUGUGGCGACAGCUAGUGUUGAAAGGGAUUUUUGUGCAAUGACUUUGAUCAAGAGUAAGCUAAGAAAUAAGAUGGGUGAUAGUCUUUUGGAUGAUUGUCUUAUCACAUUCAUUGAGAAAGAUAUUUUCUUUGAAGUGGAUGAAGAAGAUAUAAUUAAGACUUCAUAUCCAUUAGAAAUCGUAGGCUGGAGAAGAAGUAAUAUUUUAAUUUUCUUUGAACGUUAGGUCUGUAAGCUUCUUUUAAACUAUCUACAUUAUAAUUUAUGGACCUUUUAAUUUAACCGUUGAAUUCAUGAUAUUAUGAGAUUUUUUUAUCUAUGUUAUUAUUGUUUACCGAUUUAUUACCAAAUUAUUAGUUUGAUCUUACAAUAUUGUAUUUUGGAUGAUUGGCUCGGCAUACUCUAAGUUUAAAUCCUAGCUCCGCCACUGUUUGCACAUUAAUGUGGCUUAUAUGUGUGGAGUCACUUAACCUAUGCACUUGGACCUCCACUCCCUUAGGUUUUAUGAACCUAAUUUGACAGCCUGCUCGUCUUUUAUUUUCUACCAAUCAGCUAGGAACGAACAUGGUGAUGUUUGCAUCUCUGCCAUCAAUGGCUUACAUGUCAUUAUGUAUCACAUUAGCAAGUCUUGUUUUGUUAUUGGCUGGGAUGACGGGGACUCUAGCUGGAAUUGAAUCAAAGUGGUAGAUCACAGGGUAUUCAUUGCCAUGUAUUUCUGCAGUUGCAUGGACUUGCAUCAAACGGACCUUCCUACUUAUGUGAUUGUCCUAUAUGAUCUCCUUUGAUUUCAUUUGCACACUGUAAUCACAUUAGCUAGAACACUCGCUUUUUGCUUCAAAUUUGAAAUUCAUAUCAUGAUGGACUAGAACGCUGAAUUUCUUGAUUGCUGAGUUACUAAUCACAUUGUGGCGCUGCCAAAGAAGCUGGACUCUUCAUUGUUGUUGCCUUGUGGGCUGCCGUGUGCAAAGAACAAGAGCGCACGGUAUUAUAAUAGCAGAGCAGAACACAGACAAGCGACAAGGAGCGGAGCAGAGCAGAGCACAGCCAGGCACAAGCAGUAGAGUAGAGCAGAGCAACCGGGAGAGGAGAGGGCACAUAUGCAGAGUAGAGCAGAGCCAAGCGCAAGCAUUCAUGCACUCAAGCAUGCAGCAGAGGUGUAGCAAGGCAAGCACAAGCAGCAGAGCAGAGGGAAGGGAAGGCUGGGAGAUGAAUAGGCGAAUAGUUACCUGGACAGAGCAGAGGGAAUGGAGAUGAUGCAGAUGCUUCCGGAGACUCGAGAUUUGGAGAGGAACAAGGCCACGUUGUGAACAAGGUCUCCUUUCUCUUCUCUAUUUCCCGCGCAAGUACUUGUGCAUAGUGGCUGCCUCAUCCUCCAGGACGUCCACUUCAACCUGAGGCGGGUGCCACAGACAUCCUGGCUAUGCGACGGCUACCCCCAGCACACCCCCGGCGCCUAUGAACCAUGAUCCUAAUACUAUAAAUUGUCAACCUUGUAAUCUUAUUUCAAGCAUGCUCUCUAUGUCAACCUGUAAGGUUAACUUCGUUUUUCCUUUUCUGGGUAGGGGAGUGGAUAUUGCUGUUAUUUAUAUUAUGUUGAUAUUGGUUUCCACAUGUCAUUCACCCCAAAUGUGUUGCAAGGUUGAACCUAUCAUCGGAGGAAUUUUUUUCCCUUUACCUUUAUAUCACUACGCUCUGGUUAUGUAUGAAACACUUGUCUUCUUAAAAACCUUAAUUUAGAAACAAAUUUGAAACACUAUCUUCAUUUACAUCCUGUAUGUGUUUUCUACCUUUUGUCCUAUAUGAUCUGCUUUGAUUUGAUUUGUGCAUAGUUUUUUCAAUUCAGACCUGGUGAUUUCUGAGGUUCAUGUUGUGCUGAUAAGCAGCCUACUAUUCAGUAACACUUUCAUGUGGCAUGUUCAUGUUAGCUAGCUAGAAACACUGCUUUUAGCUUCAAAAUUCAAAUUCAUGACAUGAUGGACAUUGACAAUGAAUUUCUUGAUUGCCGAGCUAUGUACACUGUAAUUCAGACCUGGUGCUUUUAGUUUUUUUCUUGAUUGCCGAGCUAGAAACACUGUGCUUUUAGUUUUUUCAAUUCAGACCUGGUGAUUUCGGUUUUUUCAAUUCAGACCUGGUGAUUUCUGAGGUUCACGUGUCACACCGAUUUUAAGAACAAAAUCGAGUGCAUUAAAUAUACAUGUACGCUAGGAUCAGGUUACACACAUGUACGACAUAAGCGAAUAUCAAAGACAAUGCCAUAACGAAAUAAAGAGAGUAUUAAUCAUUAUUACAUGACCGAAAGUCUCAAAUAAACCACAAAAUCUAUUUAUUACAUAGCGGAACUUCUAAGAUAGCAACGUCUCCACAGGCAGCUGACUGAAGAACUGUAUGCCUAGAACUCUUCAAAAUCGUGCAGGUACUCCUCCAGAUUAGCUUGGUAUGAACAACGGUUUUGCAAGGGUGAGUACACUUAUGGUUGGUACUUAAUAAGUCGUGGGAAACAAUGUAGUGUAAGGCAAAUCAAGGUAUGGCUAAGGCUUAAACAGCAUCAGCUUUUAAUUUAGUUGGUCAAAUUUUAUUAGCAAUUAAUUAGACGUAAAUUUAUACCACCCGAAAUUAAACAAGAACAUGAAUAAAAUAAUAACAUAACCAUAAAUGAAAUGACAACAAUUUAAAUCCAUCUUUUCAUAGCAUUAUCAUGUGAGGGUCCAGUCCGUUCUUAACCGUGAGCACCGCUGAUCGAUCAGUUUUACACUCUGCAGAGGUUGUACAUCUUUACCCACAAGUCGCGUAAAAGUUCAAAAGAAUUUUGGACCCAACCAUGCGGUAUUUGCAAGGCACCAUACCACACUUCCAAGGUGUGAUUGCAUAUGAACGCUACGAGGCCUUUACAAAGAUUCAUUAGUAAGUGGUAACCCGCUAAGGUUUCGGUAUUUGGCGUGCACAACCUAUCACAGGCCGCUAAUGCAACGACUCAGUCCCCCCUCUUGCCUCAUCACGAGUAAGAUUACCCCAGACUAAGGUUUCUAAUUAUUCAGCCAAGAUCAGAACCAUUUAGUCUUGUGGUAGCACUGUUUUCCUGGGUGGUUCUCCAUGUUCCGAUUAAACAUAAUGGUCUUGUAUUAAUGGAAGGUAUAACAUAAAUAAUACCAAAUUAAUAAUAAUUCAGAUUAAAUCACCAUAACCAUAUUUGAGCACUAAGCAUGAGCUACCCAACAUAAAUUUAACCCGGUUGGUCAAGGCAAGGUAGAUAAAGUCUAGGAAAUUCUUAAUUGGGACCCAUCAAGUUUAAAUUAUACUUUGCAUGGUAUGUUGCAUAGAACAUGAAAGUAAAUGUGAAUAGGACUGAAAAGGAGUGAUUAGGGACACGACUUGCCUUUUUAACCUUGUUCUUGCUGUUCGUACUCUUCGAAAACUUUGAUCUUCAAAUCCCUUGAACUGCUGACCGUCUACACGCGUCACACGACCACAUACAAGCAAACAAAUAUAAUACAUAAGAAAACAGUACACCAAUCAUAAUUAAAUAGAAGAAACAAAUUUGAAAAGCUAUUCUACGCAUUAAAACGAAAACACGGAUACAAGGAACGUUAAAAACGGAGCUACAGUGCAAAAACUACGCUUAAAACAAGAUGCAGGGGUAUAACUACGAGAAACCAAACUUCCAGGGAUUUAAUUUUAAAUAAUUUUGAACUGCAGAAGGGGCAGCAGGGCAAAACGUAGAAAAUGCAGGGGCUUAAGCGCAAAAGCAUGGCUGCUGACUCAGCUGACUUGAUGUGGAUCGUCGGAUGGCGAUCCGGCGGCCGGCAGCUGCUGCGCUGACGUCAGCGACGGCGAGCGCCGGCGAAAAACGGCAGUUCGCCGGAAUCGCCCGGGAACGCGCGACUGGGUGCAGAUUUGAGCGAGGAUUAGACUAGCAGAUAGAAACGAGCGCAGUGAACUCAUUUGGGAUGCCUACGGCGAGGACUUGGCGACGGCAUCGGCUCCGGCGAGAACUUGCGGCAGGGAAACCAAAUAAAAUAAAAUAACACGGUUCAGAGAAGCGGCGCUGGAGGAACGCGAGCGAUUUUGCGUGCGAGCGGAAGAAAACACUGCGAGGAAGAUGACUGCGGGCCCUGCUUGUCUGCGGCAGGAGGAGAGCUGCGUGCGAGAAGAACCUGGCCACGAUCUGGGCCGUUGCCUUCGAUCUGGGCCGAGGCAAGCUAGCUGGCCCGCUGCUGCGGAAAGGUGCUGGGCCACGGGCGGAGCACAGCGUCGGGCCAGAAAGGAGAUGGCUGCUGCGAGGAAACAAAAGAAAAUGAACUGGGCUGCGACAGAGGAAAACUGGGCGUCGGCCAGAAAGAAGCUGCGUGCAGCUUGCUCUUGUUUCCGAACUAGAAACAGGAACUGACGGAAAGACAGAAAUCAAUUGGAGACUGAAACUGACGCCCCAGACUCUGAACUUCGAAAAAACAGGACAACCAGCCAACUGACAGAAAAAAAAAAGCUUAACAACCCAAAAGCAGUACACAACCACGAAACCAGGCCACAAGACUGAAAAAGCUUGAUAGGAACAUCUGGCGACUGAACCAAAAAACUACAGAACUGCAACUGAAGAACUAGAGAACAGAUAAAUAACUGAUUGAACUCUGAAACUGAAACACCAAAGAGCAGGAAGCUGACUGACGGAAAAUGCAAAACAGCAACCCAAGGUGAAACACAAAUUCUUCUUCAAGCAUUCAAACAAAGAGAUAUGCAACAGCAUGAAUGCUCAAUAAAAUCCUAUAUUUCAUUAAUUAAUUAGAAAAAAUGCUCAAAUGCCUAGAAAAAUGCAAAAGUGACCUUAUAUGCCUUAAACAAGCAAAUUCGUUUCUAGCGAUUUUUGGUAAAAUGCAAAAUUAGAGAUUUUGGGUGUUACAUCAUGUUGUGCUGAUAAGCAGCCUACUAUUCAGUAACACUUUCAUGUGGCAUGUUCAUGUUAGCUAGCUAGAAACACUGUGCUUUUAGCUUCAAAAUUAAAUUCAUGACAUGAUGGACAUUGACAAUGAAUUUCUUGAUUGCCGAGCUAUGUACACUGUAAUCACAUUGUGGGGCUGAUAAAAUAAGCAGCGUUGAGACACAUAACAAUUGAAUCUUAAGCUUCACACAGAAUCUGGACCAGUCAUCCUCAUUCCUGUCAUGCUGGAAAUGUCUUUGAUACAUUUCAAUCACAGGCAAUUGAAUUCGUACUGGGGAGGAUGGCAAUGGUGCAUGAAGAGAGAUCAAUGUGGCAAAUCUCACAUUGUUCAUUACCAGGUAUCUCCGAUUUCUGGUUAUUUUAAAUUUACCUUGACAUGUGACUUAUUGAGGUAUUGUAUUUCAUCUAAUGGUAGUUCUGAAUUUAUGGUAACCUUGGAUGGGGUUUGUCACUUUAUACACGCACGGACUUACAAAGGACAGCAAAUGAGUAUAUUUAGAGGGCUCCUGUCCAACCAUGGACUAUACUUAUGUACCCUUUUUUGACAUGGUAAUUUGAGGUUAAUGGAAAAGUAGCGAUAGUCGCCUCCAGCGAAGCUACCUUCUUCGAAAGCUCCGAGGCUGCUUUCUCGCUCUUAGCAAGCCGAUCCCUCGUAAUCAUCGAAGAGUAAGAGACCUACAGAUUUUAAAAACCAAGUUACCAAAAAUAACGAAGUAAAAGACAACACUCGCAAGACAAACCACCAAACUAUCUCAUAAUUGUACCUUCUUUACGAGGUUCGCCUCCAAGUUAAAGAGCUCUUCCAAGAUCAUUGACUUCACAGCUUGCUGAAAAUCUAUGCGCCAAAGGAUAUAGUCGUAAGCAUAAAAUAAAAAUUGGUAAAAACCAAGGACAGCAAAGCCAUCUACAAGCUGUUCUUACCCUCAUACUUUCGCACCUCAACGGCGAUCGGAACAACCUUCUCUCUAGCCUCGCCCUUAGACGCCACCACAAUCUUCCCGCCACACAAAUCCACAACCCCUCCUUUACCUUUGCCCUCUCCCGAAGUCGUCGUGCCCGCCUUCUCCACCCUUUUUGAACCGCCAACAUCUGCAUAGCGCUCGCAACCUUCACCUUCAGCCCCCCAGACCAAAGACAGGUUGUGAGGAUUAUAAACCCUACCUUCGGCGCAUGUAGCUAGAAUCUCCGUGCGCCCGCUCAAGCCCAGACACUCAUUCAGUCCCUGAAGCCCCGCCGGCAACCUCUCACCUACAUCAUAACAUUCAACUUUUAGCCUCACAUGAUCCUCACAACUAACCUUACCAACGCCCCCCAUAGUUUCUUCCAAGUCCUUCAAAAAUUUCGUUGAGGCCUCACCACAAUCAAAGAACCGUAGCAUCGAUAGAAACACCUCUACAUGCUUACCAGAUCUCACAGCUUCGGCACACCCACCCUUUGGAUCAGAUGAGAACGCAUCCACAAGCUUCGCCUUUUCGGUGGCAAACCCCCUCUCAAGUUUCCCAACAUCAGUCAAGAGAUGUUGCGCGCUCUUAAACUUCGAGCUUAUGGAAGGCACCGUGAUCUUGGUACCAGCUGCCGAAGACGCGUCAACCUUGGCACCCGUAACAGUAACAGGAGCAAAUCGAGGUUUCUUGGCGCCUCUUUUGAUCCGUGCGGCGGGCCCGGUGGAUGAAGGUGCAAGAGCUGGAACCUCCUUAGGAGGGCGCAUAGAGACAGGAACAACAUAUGCCGGAUUGCUCAAGUCGCCAGACGAAGCUGUCGACCACGAUGGCAACAUAGCAGACGAAGCCCCCGCGGUCAUUUCCUUCCUUUUUUGCGCCUCCAAAUUCAAGGUCUUUUGCUUCGCCUUAGCGGUCACUUGCAAUUCAAUAGUGAGCUUCACCAUGGGUACGAAGUCAAAUUUUGCCUUUUUCCUCUGCUCAAGACUAGCACCGCGACGGCGCCUCUUGCCCGUAACUUUGGGGUGAGGCAGAACCACAAUAUCAUACAAGUCAAAAAUCUAAGAUGAUGACAUUCCAUUUGUAUCCAUGAUUUAUAUUGUGUUCCUUGAAUAUCCAUUAAAGUCUACUUGAAUUGAUUUGCAAUUAUGUGAAUUGUAUGUGAAACUCUUUCCUUGUAUGGUUAUUCUAAAGUUGUCCCUAGUCGGAGUUCAUGUGAGGACACAUGAAUAUUAGACUAGCACAUGUAUUAGUUGAUGACUAUGUUUCACAAGUCAUGGACAUGAAGAUGUGGAACUAAUAAUGUGGGCACAUGUGGAGACACGUGCUAGGACUGACCCAACACGAGAAGUAGUUCUCUCUUUAUACAACAUAUACGCUUUGUCCUUAGACCUGAGAUUGUCGCAUGUACUCAAGAUGUGGAUCGACUUACUUAGGGGCUAUCAAAUUCUACGCCGUAACAGGGUAGUUAUAAAGGUAGCUUUCGGGUUUGUCAAGAAGCAUGCUAUGAGACAUGGUCAAUCAAGAUGGGAUUUGCCCCUCUCUGAUUGAGAGUGAUAUCUCUGGGCCCCUCGAGUGAUCGGAUCCGAAAAUGCAUGGCCAUGCUACAUACGAUUAAGAGUUAGCCUACAAAAGGAUUCCGAAUCAUAGGAUCGAGAAAGAGCGGUCGGCUUGAAGCUAGACCAAAUAUCGUGAGGCAAAGGGAAUAGCAUGUAUAUAAUGUUGUGAUGGUUCGUCUGAUAUGAUCUUCGUGUGCGUAUAGGAGUUGGCACGUCUUGCUAGAGGUCGCUACCGACUAUUGGGCCGAGUAGGAGUACUCAGGCCAUGUCUAUACGUAUCCGAACCCAUAGGGUCACACACUUAAGGGGCUGGAAGCCCAAUUCGGAUGUGAUCCGAAUUGGAUUAGGUUUAGAAGUACUAAUGGGCCUUGGACCUAGAGGCCCGUUAGGAACCUCUAUAAAUAGAGGGGUGGGGGCGCCCUAGGGUUUACACCUUUUUGGUGAAACACAUCUGCCGCGCCUCCCACGCCUUCGCCUGUUGCAACUCGCGGACCUAGCAGUCCGGCUUGCGACGCUUCCUCCCUGCACGUGUGGAUACCUUGGAAGUGUUGCUCCUGCAGCACUUGGACGAGCCGCCAACGAGCCACGACGAGCCACGAUGAGCCGACGAUGAGCCGCGGCACGAGGGGGAUCUUGCUGCACGUGGACGAGCUGCUGAGGAGCUGCUGGACGUCGAUGUGUUCGACUACGUACGACUACGCUGAUCGACUUCGCUGCAUCAACGCGAAUCUACAUCUUCCGCAUCAUUGCAUCGAGUGGUAAUCCCGUGAUCCUGAUACGGCAGUUUUCCUAGUUUACGCGGUAGAAAAUUUUGUUUUGUGCUAGUGUAGCCUAACUCAUAUCCCAACAACGUGUGCUAUAGGUCACGCAAGCCUGAAAAUGGCCACACCGGACACCGGGUACGAAAACAUGGGGGAUGGACCGAACAUUUGAAAAUGGCCUCCAUAUGUGUUUUCGGCUAUGAAAAUGUGUGUUAUAGGUCACAGAAGCUUGAAAACGGCCGCACCAGCCACUAGGGACGAAAACGUGGGGGAUGGACCAAAGACAUAAAAAAUAGCCUCCAGACGCGUGUUCGGCCAUGAAAACGUGUGGUAUAGGUCCUGGAAGGCCAAAAACAGCUACACCGGCCACCUGGGACGAAAAAGUUUGUGUAAGACCGAACACUUGAAAAUAGCCUCUGGACGCGUGUUCGGCUAUGAAAAGGUGUGUUAUAGGUCACACGAGCCCCAAAACAACCACAGCGAACACCAGCUACAAAAACAUGGGGGAUGGAUCGAAUAAUUGAAAAUGGCCUCCAGACGUUUGUUCGGCCAUGAAAUCGUGCGUUAUAGGUCGCGGGAGCCCGAAAACGGCCACACCGGCCACCGGGAAUGAAAAUGUGGGGGAUGGACCGAACAAUUAAAAAUGGCCUCCGGAUGUGUGUUCGGCCAUGAAAACGUAUGUUAUAGGUCACGGGAGCAUGAAAACGGCCGCACUGGCCACUGGGGACGAAACGUGGGGGAUGGACCGAAGACGUGAAAAUAGCCUCCAGACGCAUGUUCGGCCAUGAAAAUGUGUGCUAUAGGUCAUGCAAGGCCAAAAACAGCUGCACCAGCAACCGGGGACGAAACCAUGGCUGUCAAACCGAACGCUUGAAAAUCGCCUUCGGACGCGUGUUCGGAUAUGAAAACAUGUGUUGUAGGUCACGCGUGCCCGAAAACGUCCACAACGGACACCGGGUACAAAAACGUGGGGGAUGGAUCGAAUAACUGAAAAUGACCUCCGAACGCGUGUUCGGCCAUGAAAACGUGUGUUAUAGGUUGCGGGAGCCCAAAAAUGGCCACACCGGCCACCGAGGAUCAAAACGUGGGGGAUUGACCGAACAAUUAAAAAUGGCCUCCGAUUGUAUGUUCGGCCAUGAAAACGUGUGUUAUAGGUCAUGGGGGCCCAAAAAUGGCCGCACCAGCCACCAAGGACGAAAAUAUGGGAGAUGGACCAAAGACAUGAAAAUGGCCUCCAGAUGCAUGUUUGGACAAAAGUGUGUGCUAUAUGUCGUGCAAGGCCAAAAACAGCUACACCAGCCACCGGGACAAAAACGUGGGUGUUUGACUAAACAAGUGAAAAUGGCCUCCGGAAGCAUGUACGGCUAUGAAAAUGUGUGCUAUAGGUAAUGGAAGGCUAACAAAAGCUACACCGGCCACCGGGGACAAAAUCAUGGGUGUCAGACUGAACACUUCAAAAUGGCCUCCGGACGCGUGUCCGGCUAUCAAAACGUGUGUUAUAGGUCAUGCGAGCCCGAAAACAACCACACUGAACACCGGGUACAGAAACAUGGGGGAUGGACUGAAUAACUGAAAAUGGCCUCUAGACGCGUGUUCGGUCAUGAAAACAUGUGUUGUAGGAUGCGGGAGCCCGAAAACGGCCACACCGGCCACCAGGGCAUGGACCAAACAAUUGAAAAUGGCCUCCGGAUGUGUGUUCGGCCAUGAAAACGUGUGUUAUAGGUCACGGGAGCCCAAAAAUAGCCGCACCGACCACUGGGGAUGAAAUCGUGGGGGAUGGACCGAAGAUGUGAAAAUGGCCUCCAGAUGCGUGUUCGGCCAUGAAAACGUGCGCUAUAAGUCAUGUAAGGCUAAAAAUUGCUACACCGGGACUAAAGCAUCCCCCAUGAGUUACAAUAAAAGGAUUGUAUCCUCUACUCAGUCGGAUGUACUGUGUAGGUGAGAUGGUAAGGAAGCUAUGCGCGAGGUUUGAGGUUGUGGGUUGAAAUCCUACGCACCGCGCGCACACGCGCAUAUUUUGUGUGAAAAAUCAUGUGACUUGUGAUCGGCCAAGGAGAAGUGGGUGCAGCUGUGGCUUAAGUGGCUGAGGCACGCUGCCAUAGACAUCUCCGAUUUGCUCGAAGACUACCAAGACACUAGCAAUAACAAGAACUACUGCUCUUCCUAGCAGACUCUUUACAACCACUUUAAAGCUGUGCAUUUCUCAAUGUAAUUUCGUAGAAGGCAAUCGAUCCAACCAAGCGACUAAAUCAUUUGUUCUUGCCAAUGAUGUACAUCAGGUUUUCUAUAUGAAGGACAUGUCUAGCAAACCUAAGAUUUUAGAAGAAAAAGAAAAAUUAUGGGAGUCAAUAAUAAAUCAGGCCAAUCAGGAGAUUAUAGUAAGCUCGAUGGUAUGCCUCCAUUCGAUGUCGAAGUUGGCCCAAGCAUCAUGUUAGCCAAAGAUCAAAUGUUCGUGCAUUGCUACGGUAAAGAUCAAUUGUGUCUUUUAAACCCAUGGAAUUUUUUAUCUAUGUUUUUAUUACACUUAAUGGAUGUCUACACAUUUGCUAGAAAAUCAAAAUAAUUUUGACUUAAUUAUUUCUUUCAACUCAAAUACUCAUUAAAUUUCUACCUUUUUAUUUAAGCAAGAGAGUUGCUCAAAAAAUGGAUACGUAACCAUGUUGUAUCAUACAAAGCAACCACAUUUCACAUAUAGUCUGGCUUAGCAAACACCAUUGUUGUCUUAACAUAGUGUUCAUGAGUUAGUAGACAUGGAUCUAUUUCUAAUUGCAAGUAGUGCAGCGUACAACCAGCCUGCACCGCCGCAGCUCAAUAUGCGAUAAUUUUUUAUCUUCCCAUGUAAUUUUUCUACUCUAGUACAUAUUGAACUCCACAUAAAUGUCAUGUUCUUUCACGCCACAGACGGUUUCUAAAGUUUGGAACUAAAUAGAUAGCCAAAAAUUUUAAAAAAAUAUUUAUAUGGAUACAUGUAUGUUCUUUGCAAACUAACAAUAUUGUUUACAAUAUCAAAAGGAAUAUGGCUAUGAUCAUUGCCGCAUAUGGCAGGUGAUGGUAGAUGCCGUAUGGGGUUUCUUUAACUUAAUUGUAUAAUAAGCUGAAAUACAUUUUCUAUUUGCAAAUGAAUCAUAGCUGAAAGUGGUGGGAUUGUAGAACCGCCGGCCAUCGUGUCCUUGUAGGACCGCUGCACGAGCCUGUGAGCCACCAGCCACCAUGCGCCCAAGGGCCAUCACCACGCCAUAAGAGGAUGCUGUCUACCCGGUUUCGCGCGCCUGUGCUAGCUGCCUGAACCUGGGCCGCCGCCGGUCGCCUGCCCAGCCGCGCGUUGCGCCAGGGUUUUGCUGGUGACGACCAUGGCCUUCGCGAUCAAAUUAAAAAGUUAUCAACUGCAAAGUAUUAGGUCUCGUUGAGCUCUACAAUUUUGAUAUAAAGUUUCUAUUCAUCCGAGAUCAAAUAAAAAAUUUGAUACUCAAAGCAUAAAUCCAUUAAUCUAGUCUUGCUAAUCCUUACCACCAAAUAAAAAACUAGCAUGUGUUGUGUGUUUGUGACCCUAAACGAUCACAAAUGAAUAACUUAUGGGCCUUGCUAGCGCCCGGAUGUCCAGGCCGGGGCACUAGCAUCAGACCCACGAGUAGCCGUCCGAUCAGGUUCGACACCACUUCAGGAUCUGGCUUAAAAAGAAGUCCCACCGAAACAUUGUUCCAUGUUGCAUGAAGCAACCCACUACCGUCGCCAGGUCUAGAGCAAGCACCACCUUCAAAUGUGCUGCUCACCCUAGCUAAAUAGGGGCAUUAAAAUAUUUCUCGCAUAUCCUUCUCAAAUUAAACAAAAUCGCAACAUCUGAAAAUUUUUACAGAAAACCAUGAAACAUAUCGAUUAGAUAGAUGUAACAAGAUGGAAUAUGGUAUAUGCAACAUAUAGGUUCCGAAAAGCAGAUGAAAUAUUAUGUAAUGAUUCUUGAAACAGUCAAGAAAAAUAGAUGUAACAUCUAAAAUUAAGAAAAGAAGCUUUAUGCAAAUUGCAAAAAGCUGAAACAAGUGGUUGAAACAUUUCAAAUCACCAAAUGCCACAUUUGAAAUGACCAGAUGAAACAUCACGAAAUCAAUUGCAACAGUUGAAGAUGAAAACAUUCAAAUGCCUUGCCUUUCUCCAAAUUUGACCCUCCAAGCAUGAGUCCAGCCAUUUGCACAUUAGACCCUUGGGAGGAGCUCACCGGAGAACAACAAGACCGUGUUAUCCAACAAUUUUCAGAUCAAAUUGCAACAUAAAGAACAAAGCAUUGCAACAUCUGGCAUCACGAGCUACAACAGCAACCAGUUAGGAUCAGGAGAAAGAGGGCAAACACAAGCCUAACAAUGAGUUAUAUCCGGUUUAAACAAGGAUAAAAAUGAGUGUAUUUUACACUCAUCAUGUUGUCUUUUCGCAGCUGUACCGCCUUUAGCGUGUUGUAUUGUUCCUAACACCAAGUCUCCGAGGCCCGAAAAAAUAAGGAAAGUGGUAGCAGCUCAGAAAUCGACUAAGUUUCUUUCCCCCUUUGGCUUUCCUACUAGGAUUCGGAAUCCUCUUUCGUAUGACAAUCUUAAUGAUCUCCCAUAGUCCAAAACUCACAAAAACAUCAAAAAUCCACCGAGAAUAAAUUAAGUAAAAAAACAUGCACACACAGAUAAUAAUAGUAAUCAUGUUUCAUUAUGAUUGCUAAGGUCAGACACAAUACAUAAACAUAUUAGACUGAGUGACCCACCUCACCUCAGAGUAUGCACCAUGUCUGAGUGACCCACCUCACCUUGCCAGGACACUGGUCCUGCCCUCGUGGUUCACGCGCCCUCGUGGUUCAGCAGUGGUCAGUACACAAAUCUAGCUGCCAGUCGGAUCCAAGGGCAGGCAUUUGCAUUGUGGUUGUGUUUGAACAUGGAGAUGUCAUUAUUAUUGUCAGGCACCAUACAUCCUCUCUCAGUUUCACUCCGCCUCACACACGGAUAGCACACCAGGGACCCGACACCAUGCAUGCCGAUUUCAUAUUAUUAAUAUUUAAUUUUUUUAAUGGUUGUUGAAACUAUAUUGUUGAUAUUUUUAUACAUAAUUUACGACCUAAUUUGGAUAUAUUUUUGAAAUAUUCCGAAAUCUUAAAUUCACACGUCUAGAGAUACAGUUAGUCCAAUCUGAUGUUUCCGAUUAUAAAAAUGAACAUAAAGAGAUAGGAAGCGAGAGACGUGAGGGGGAAAGUUAAAUUAGGGCCUAAGGGGUGAAGUUAGGGUUCCAGGUGAGCUGUCAUCACUACGUGUUUUUAAUCGAAAUUGGAAUGUCAGCAAUCGUCAGAUCUUGAGCCAACAGUUGAGACUGCCUCGGAAUGGUAAUUAGGUCUGCGCGAGCUUGCAUUGUGGCCUUCCUUGAAACCUUGGACAUAGGUGUUAUAUUAUUAUGUUCUUGCCAGCACACAGCAGUGAAGGACGACACAGUUGAGAUGUGCAUCACAUUUUCUAUAUGAAGGAUAUGUUUAGCAAACCUAAGAUUUUAGAAUAAAAAGAAAAAUCAUGGGAGCCAAAGCGCCACAUAGUUCUUCCAGGUAAAAAAAAAUCAUCCACUGGACCAGCACAUAGUAACGAUCCAAAAAGUCCAUAUUAAGAUUUUUUGAUAGCAGAAAAAACAUAAAAUGUCUAAUAUUUGUAGUAUUAAAAGGAAAAAUAAUAUAUUCACGUGACCUUUUUCCCGUAGCAAGGCACCGGUACGUGGUCAGACUUAAUGCACGAUGCCUAAGCAUCCAUUGGGCCUACCCUCGUGUGGAUCACGCGCAACAGGACACGGCUCACAAGCUAUGAUGUGCAGCAGUCGCUCAGAUGGCUGAAAGGUACCCUUAAUUUGAAUGGUACCAUAUAUAUAUAUAUAUAUAUAUAUAUAGUAAACAAGACAAACCACCGUUGAUACUACUUUGCACUACUUGAUACAUAUAUCUCCACCAAAAGCGAGGCACGUGGGGAGGAGAGAUAUGUGGUUGAUGGUGCGGGCACGUGGCGAGUGCACCGUACGAAAAUUUUGCUCGUGUCGGACGACUGAUGUGAAGCAUUACCCAAUCUUAAUUAUCUCCCAUAAUCCAAAACUCACAAAAACAUCAAAAAUCCGCCGAGAAUAAAUUAAGUAAACCAUGCACACACAGAUAAUAAAAUUGCUAAUAAGGCCAGAGACAAUACAUAAACAUAUUAGACUGUUCAUGACACAUAUCACGGUGGAUAGUGUCUGUGUCCUUAUUACAAGCAAUGAGAGAUGCUUGUCACCACACACACGCGCACAGAUGCACAACAUACAUAUAGUUGAGACCAACAGAUGGAUCAACUAGAGGUCACCCCAUAUGGUGAACAAUUUAUUGGAGAUAAACAUUAACAUAACUUGGCCAUAGCUUGAAGCAUAGCAACAUAUGCCUAUGAACGGCGUUCAUGCUAUCAUUUUAGGCUUGUCCGCUUCUUCCAUCUUAGCAAGCACUUCCAUUUCUACCAUCUUAGAAGCAACUGUCAAAUUGAGAUAUGGAAAUCCCAUUAGCGCAUGAGUUAAUUUUGCAGUGAAAAUAGAGUACAAGAUAUCUUCAUGAUGUAAGUAACAUGCCUGAAGUUGUGAGAUGGGAAGUGAAGUCAACAAAUUACAUUAACGGAAAUGCAUGGAAGGCCACACAUACGUAUUAGUCCAUGAUAUGCUACAAAGCUUGUAUGUACAUAUAGCAAAUUAAAUGCAUUAAUUGAAUAGAGUGAGUUUAGUGAAUUUACCAGAAUCGUCCAGAAAACAUGGGAAACAGCAAGUGUUCUUGCAGACUGCGUCGGUGCCACCCACAGCAAUACAACCAAAACAACAUGCUUUUGCCCGAGCGGCUGCGCAGCAGCCGCACUCUGCCGCGGUGGCCGAGUUAGCAUUGAGGCUCAAGAUGACCAGGCACAUGAUCACCAUCAAAGCGGUGGUAGUCCUCUUUCCCUCCAUUGCCUCCUCUUGCUGCUACCUUCCUUGGUUACCUAGCUAAGUUUAUUGGUUUUGUGUUGAGAGGUGAUUCUUGCAUUGAAUGGACGUUGCCGCGGCUGCAAUUUAUAGGCAGCUGCGCUAUGUGAUGAUAUGGACAAGGUGCAAAUGGGUGGUCCUGAUAUGGAUAAGGUGCAUGCGAAUGGCUGUCUACUUGUAUAGUGGCGCUCCAAUGUACAUACGUAUGUAUCUUAUGCAUGUAUACAGUUGAUGGAUGUACAUGUUUGUUGCACAAAUUAUUCUGAACCAACUCUUCAUAACAGGUCUUUGUUACCAAGUAAUUUUACUUUUGCACGUUUCAGCCGAGAGGCAGAAGAGAAUAUUUUACAGAGAGGGCAGAGAAGGAGGUUGGCGGAGGCGCCGUGGUAGGGUUCCCCGUGUCGCCAAGAUUUUUGCAUUUUAGAUGUGUGUAUUGAUCACUUCGUCGUGCUCGCGGGGCCCAACUCCAGGUUGUACCCCAGCAGACCACGUUCUGUUUCUCUGCCUCCAAUGAGCAUGCAUGCCUCCACAAGGACCACAAGACUUAGUAAAAAAGCUAAACUUUGCAACACGAUGUAUACAGAACGUUUUGAAAUGUACUCUCGUUAGGCAUUCACCUCCUUAACAAUCACUGCGACUGUAAAAGAGGUACAUCGACGCUAGCUAAAUAAACCACUAUAAGAUUUAGCAAGAGAUCAUUUUAUACAAUCCUGUAACGAAACAAUUUGACAAUUAUAGUGUCCAUAUAUUUUGACAAAAAAACGUUUAAAUUAUAUAAGGAGGUGGGCCCGAAAACGGUUGGAUUACAUCGAGAACGUUUUGAAACAGUUGGCGGAGCAGGAUUCUGGCGUGGAGCAUCUACAUUGUCGCGCGCGCGGACUGCCGGAGUAGGCACGCUCGACUUGUCCCAUCGCCAGCUAAAUGAUUUAGUACCGGAUGGUCUCUAGUACCGGUUGGAGCUACCGUCCACCAGGAGCUUUUCUAGUUUGGAACUGGUACUAAUGCUAAUAUUAGUAUCAGGUCAAAAACAAUCGGUACUAAGGCUAGGGAUGACACGUCAUUUUUCUAGUAGUGUGUGCAAUUGGUUUUGUAAUUAGUCUAUAUUUAAUACUUCUAAUUAGUAUCUACACAUUUUAUGUGACAGGGACUGAACUUUAGUCCGUGGAACCAAACACCCCAUAAGUAUGUUUGGUGCUGUAAGGAUUUCGGUUUUAUUUAAUUUCCUAGGCAUUUAAAUUUCUUUCUAAAAUAAGUUAAUGAAUCAUAGGAUCUCAUUGUUGUAUUCAAGCUGGUGCAUUGAUUUUGCCUAUAAAACCCGCCGCGGUCUUCGCAGCCCCCAUCAAACCCUAGCGCCCUUGCCACAAGCUCAGCACCGCUGCCGCCCGAGCUCGAGCACUAGCACCCACCCAUCGCCGUUGCCUUCCCGUCGAUGGGAUCACCGCCCGGAGCUUCGCAUCGUGGUAAGGAAGCCGCCCGUGAAGAUCCCAUGUGCUCCUAUGCCCUCUACCGCGUCCCCGAGUUCCCGGAGUUGCUAGUCUCCCACCGAGCCGACUCUCCGAGCUUCACGUCACUGGUGCCGCUCCGAAGACCUAGUUCGGUUCGCCAUGCACCUCGCUUCAUCCUGAGCUAAACCCCAUAAUGAAUGGUGGUCGGAUGCUCGCCGCCACGGCGCGUCGUCUUUUCUGUCGCCCGUGCAUUGCCUAUCCCCUUCCAGCCGAUUGCAGCUGUCCGAUCGCAAACCGGUGGCCCUGAUCGGAUACCAAGGUCAAUACCGGUCGAACCGAGCCGUGCGCUGCUUUUGCAAGAAGGCCCCUGUUUUUCUCUCUUUUUGCACCUGAGGUCCUACGCAGUUCAAAAGUAAUAAGAUCUAGGUCCUUUUUCUUUUGUUUUAGCCCGUGUUCUUUUAUAAAAUCCCGCCCACUAUUCUGUUUGGUCUUUUGACGCGUUAGACCUUCUUUUUAUAUGUUUAAUUAGGUUUUAGGUCUCGAUUUCUUUAAGUUUAGCCCUUGAAAGUUUAGUUCUCUCGCAGUUAAGCCCCUGAACCUUGUUUAGCUCAUAUCUUAAGCGUUUUAAAUCCGUUUUAACAGAUUCUUGCGCCUAUAAGUUCAUGUUGACGCAUAGAUUAGUUGACUUAUACGAACCUUGCUGAUUCAGCUCCUUGAUUGUGCUUCAGAUCUCGCUAGGGAAGAAUAAUGGAUGGGCUUUGGUUGAGCUUGUAGAUCGACUUGCAGUUGCAGUGAAUGAGCAGAGGAUUGGCAGUGAAUAAGAUCAGGCCGCUGCCCUGCUUGGUAGGGAAAAUAUCUGCUUGCUACCAAGGCCUGUGACGCAUGGACCCCAUUGAGAGUGCAUUAUUGACAAGGACUUAAAGCCAAGGGCUCCACACCUGUCAUUGAUCAGCUGUCUGCUGGGCGCUGCAAGGAGGUAGUGCAUGUUUGACAUAAAGAAGCAGGUGGCCCAGGAUUUACGAAAAAUAAGGAUCUAUUUGAUACCCUUGCUUAUAUUUAGGGGCUAAAAGUUGCUUAUUUGAAGUUGCUUAUUUUUAAUCCUAGCUGUUUGAUUGCAUGGGCUAAAGAGCAUUGAAUGAGGUGGAUAUUGUCAUGUUUGCCUCUAAUGAUUGCUUCCCAUCACAUUUCUCCCCCCUCAUUCAACGAGGGAAGGAGGUGUAAAGUGCACCUUUUAGCCCCGAUAAGUAACCCUUGUGUUGUUUACGGGCUGAACAUAAGUAGCUAAAGUUUAGCUCCAAUAAACAAGAGUGUUUGGUAUUUUUGGGGUUAAAAGGGGCUAAACUUUAGCUGCUUAUGCAUAAGCAAGGCCAUCCAAAUAGGCCCUAAGUAUGUUUGGCGUUGUAAGUAGGUUUUAUUUAAUUUCCUAGGCAUUUAAAUUUCUUUCUAAAAUAAGUUAAUGAAUCAUAGGAGUUCAUUGUUGCAUUCACGCUGGUGCAUUGAUUUUGCCUACAAAACCUGCUGCCGUUUCCGCAGCUCCCAUCAAACCCUAGCACCCCCGCCACGAGCUCCAGCGCCGCUGCCGCCCGAGCUUGAGCACUAGCGCACACCCAUCGCCGUCGCCUUCCUAUCAAUGGGAUCACCGCCCGGAGCCCGUGUCAUGGUAAAGAAGCCGCCCGUGAAGAUCCCGUCCACUCUCGUGCCCUCUACCGCGUCCUCGAGUUCACCGGAGUUGCCAGUCUGCCACCCAGCCGCCUCUCCGAGCUUCAUGUUGUCGUUGCCACUCUAGCUGCCUCUCUGAAGACCUAGAUCGGUUUGCCGUGCACCCCGCUUCAUCCUGAGUUAAACCCCAUCAUGCCACGUCAUAGUAAGGAAGCUGCUCAUGAAGAUCCCGUGCGCUCCCGUGCCCUCUACCGCGUCCCCAAGUUCACUGGAGUUGCUAGUCCACCACCGAGCCGCCUCUCCGAGCUUCACUUCACAGUCGCUGCUCCAGCCACCACUCUGAAGACCUAGAUCAGUUCGCUGUGCACCCCACCUCAUCCUGAGCUAAACCCCAUGACGAACUGUGGUCGGAUGCUCAUUUUCGAGUGAAUUCCGGCGAGAUGGUCGCCCGCCGCCGCCAUCUCCAUCGCCCAUGCACCGCCUGUCCCCUUCCAGCCGAUGUCCGAUUGCAAACCGAUAGCCGAAAUCGGAUGUGGUCACCAGGAUUAAUACCAGUCAAACUAAGCCACGCGUGCCGCUUUUGCAAGAAGGCCCCUAUUUUUCCCUCUUUUUGCACUUGAGGUCCUAUGCAGUUCAAAAGUAAUUAGAUCAAGGUCCUUUUUCUUAUGUUUUAGCCCUAUUCUUUCAUAAAAUCCCGGCUGCCAUCCUGUUUGAAAUAGAUACGGUUAUAGAUAUGCAAACAUCUGCAUAUUUCCAACCGUAUCUCUUUCGAACGGGAGACGCCUAACUAGGUUACGUGACAUACGAACAUCAUACGGAUAGAGAGGGGUAGGAUGUCUCACCUUGCUAUCCUACAAAGUGACGACUCGAGGACAGUAAUGUAGCCUCUCCUUCAAAAAAAGAACAUACUACUAUCAAGUUAAAUUUUUGACAGCACCUCCCCUGCACGUGGAGGUUUCCAUAACCUGCAUCAAAUAAAACGGCACGAUGGCUGACAACCACAUCUACAGCACCAGAAUGGCACGAUGGCCGACUUCCACAUAAAGUUCUUAUACCUUAGAUUGCCAAGUCAAACAUCCUUUUCUAAUUUCUAAAACAAAAGCCCUCCCACCUCUCUAUCUUAUACUUUCCUAUUUACUAAUUGCUUUUGUAAUUUCUAAUUUCUAUUUCAUCCUACCACCUCUGUACCCUUUUCUCAUUUCUAAUUCCAAUUUUCUAACUUGAAGAGCAAAGAUUGAUUACUAGGAGGGGUGAGGGACGCCGGCCUAGAGAGGCGAGGGGACGUCCGGCGGCGGCGGGUGCGUCGGGGGUAGGAUGCCAGGGGCGGCUGCAGGGGCGCCGGGUUGGGGGCGGCCGGGAUCGAGGGCACCAGUAGCGGGGGCACCGGGCCGGGGGCGGCCGGCGGGGCGGGACGCCAGGGCCGGGGCGACGGGCGCCGGUGGCGAGGCCGCCCGGCCGGUGGUGGCCGGCGUGGCGCCUGGGCCGGGGGGGGGGGGCGGGCGGGGUGCGGCGCGGCGCGCCGGGGCAGGGCGCCGAGGCUGGGUGGUGGGGUACGGGGCGGCGGGCGGGGGGUGGGGGGAGGGUCGGCGGCGGGGCGCGGGGGCGGCCAGCGGCGACGGCGGAGGGCGUCGGUGGUGUUUCGGAAGUGAUACGGAGGGGGUAGAGAGAUUCGUUUUCGCGGCUGAGUGUUCGAGUCAGAAGGCCGUGCGGCUUAAGUCAGGUGGUUUGCCGAGUGCGCGCGAUCUGGCACUCGGCAAAGUCAGAAGUUUUGCCGAGUGUCAGAUCGCGGGCACUCGGCAACUGCAGCUUUUGUCGAGUGCCCUGGAUUCGGCACUCGGCAAAGUGAAGUUUUAAUUUUUUUUAAAAAAAUUUAAUCGGAACACGGGCGUGCCAGCGGGCCCGUGACAUACUUUGCCGAGUGUGUAGCAAAAACACUCGGCAAAAUAUUAUCUUUACCGAGUGUUUUCGCUAGGCACUCGGCAAAGUACACUUAUAUUUCAUGUACACUUUUUCAAUAACGUGUUUUACUAACCUUUUUCUGAUAUACUUGGGAAAAACCUUAUCAAAUUCACUCAACAAUGGAUAUAUGGUUUUUCUACUGACAUUAUUCCAUUAUUUCAUUCAGUUAUAGCUCAAAUUGAAUUUAUAUCUAUUAAAAAUCAAUAAUUGCAUUUAAUAAAUAAAAAAUACCAAACGGAUCUGAAAAAUUUCCAAAAUUUGACAUGAACCAAUCUAUGUUGUAUGUUGCCUGUACAAAAAGCUUUGAAGUCAAACCCCAAUUCAAGUGUCACUUGGACUCCAAAUCUUAUCGGAUCCUUUCUAACUUCUAUGAAUCCUUUCGGGAGAUGAGUCGGUUUGUAAGCAUCAUAUGUCAUAAAUUGGGCGAAACCUUCUCAAUUUUUUACCACAGCCUCCACAUAUAAUAUCAUGACACCUUGACAAAUCUUGUGAUUUUCAGACUUCGUUUGCUUUUUUUAGAAUUUAACAACCAUUCAACCACAUGUUCGUGAUCGUGUUUUCUAAAAAAAUGUUCAAAAUUUCUUUUCAUUUCCUGGUUGAGACCUCAAUCCGGAUUGAAUAAUAUGAAUAUGAUUUUUUCACUGAUUUUAAUCCAUUAUUUAAAUCACUUGCAGUUAAAUUUGACUUAAAUAAACAAAUUCCUAUUAAUGCUAUCAAUUCAUUAAAAAUAGCAAACAGAGAAAAAAUAGACCAACUUUUAAGAUGGAUUACCAAAUGUCAUAUGUGGGGAGUAGAAAAAGUGUGGAGAGCAGAGGUGGAAAAAAAAGUUUUGCCUUUGCCAAGUGCCUACACAAACACUCAACAAACUUUGCGGAGUGCCUAUUGAAAACACUCAGCGAACUUCUGAGUUUGCCGAGUGUCUGGAGGGAGCACUCGGCAACCUACUUAUUUGCCGAGUGUCCGCGUCGGACACUCAGCAAAGUACUAACGGCUGGCACACUCCCCUAACGGACGGCGCACGUGCAAGCCAUGUGCUGGAGAUUUAUCGAGUGUCAAAUCGUUGCCGAGUGUCGUGUGGAUGUUUGCCGAGUGUCUUAUUUGUGACACUCGGCAAAGCUAUUGUUUGCCGAGUGUAUUAUUUAUGCCGAGUGUCUUCCAGUAUACACUCGGCAAAUGAUGUCUUUGCCGAGUGCUCGACAUAAAGCACUCGGCAAAAAUUUUACACUCGGCAACAUUCCUGUUUCCGGUAGUGAGUGACCCGGGACUAAAGACCCCCGUUGUCUCUGAUUGCUUUAUUCCGGAUGGAUUUUCAGGAGAUUUGCUCCCUACCAAUAGGGACUAAAGGCAAGUUUUCCACUUAUAGCAAACCAGUUAGCCCAUUGUUGAUGGAACGCAUCACUAGAAACAGCUCGGGAUCCACUUGUCCAAUAAUCGAGAGGGCCUAUAUAUGGACCACGUGUGCGGAUCCCUAAUUAGGAAAAAAGAAUAAUGGAGUAGGACAUCUCCAUGCUCACCUAGUAGCCGCUGCUAGCUUGUGCGUGUGGAACACGAGUGCCGGCCCAGUUGGCGCUAAGACAUCGUACGUGCAUUAAGGCUACGAUCUCUUUCUUCUAACUCAUGCUUGUGCUAUUAUACAUUAUUGCAUGAUCAUCAAGAUAAGAUCGUAUAGUGACUGAGUGAGACAUGUAUGUACUAACAUGCAUUUAAGCCUCGAACUGUGUGUUGUUACGUGAGCUGCCUCCUCACCUCGCCUCUGAAUUAUUGAACCGUUUCCAACAGUGUUGGUCUCAAAUAAAUUUGACACCAAACAGAUUUAUGAAGAAGAGAGAAUAAUACUUGGAAUUGGAAAAAGUUUAUCUCUCUUUACAAUGGAGUAGGGCUCCCUUUUAUAGUGACCCAUAAGCCACUUUACAUUUGGAAAAUGUCCUUCCUCAACCACUACAUUAAUUCCUAGGAUAUGCUGUACAUAAAGGUCAUUUGAGGUAACGUGUACAAAUGAACUCUUCCACAUGGUCACGUUUCUCAUGCCUCCUGUUUUCCAACCUCGAGACAUCAUCUUCACGCCAAGUUGAUCAUCUAGCCUCGAGGCUCCAUCCACGAUCCAGAAUGAACGUCCAGGCUUGAGGCUCCUUCUUCGUUAAGCUUUGUUGAGAACUCAUAACCUCACAUAGUUCUCCUCCGAGUAUUGUUCCCGACUCAGAACACUCGAGGUUUAGCUCAGUUGGAGUUUAGCUAUUACUGUUGCUAGUCACCAGCCUCGAGCCCCUCCAGAAGCAAGGUGAUGCGAGGGUACGAGUUUUACUAUUAAAGGUGUUUCCAUAGAAUGUGCGAGGUUAAAGCACUUGCAGCAAAAGCGUGGAGCUGCUUUCAACCAGAGUGCAAUAAUGCAGCCGUGCCCAUCUUGGUCUUGGUCUCCGCCUGAACUAUAGCAGAUGCUGGCAGCGGUAGCAGGGUGGUCCAUUAUAUCUAUGGAUGGCAAUGGUCGGAUUCGGAUGGAAUCGAAUUCGAAUAGCACUUUUUACCACAUACUAAUUCAAAUCCGAAUUCGGAUUCGGAUGUUCUCGAAUGCGAAUGCAAAAUGGAUGGUUCGAAUUCGAAUACUUAGCGGAUUUUUGCAUAAUAUUAAUCGAAUAGAAUUCAUUAAAUUUAGCCAAGAAAUUAAAUUUUCUGAAAUUAAAUACUUUCCCUUCGCCCCAGCGGCGGCCUAACUCCCAGGACGGUGGCGUGCGGGGCCCGAGCAUCCCUGGCCUCUAGUGGCGUGGCGGGGCGGCAUCCAGCAGCAGCGGCGGGGCUCGGCCUCCGGUGGCGCGCGGCCAGCCCGACCUACCCGGUCAGAGGUGGCGCAGCGGUGCGCGGGCCUCCCCGACCAGAGCCGGUGGGGAGCGGUGCGCGGGGAGGACCUCCCCAGCCGGAGGUAGCAGGGCGCGACCUCCCCGGCCGGAGGUGGCUCCCUGUGGGGGCGCGGCCGUGACAGCUAGCGAGGCAAUAAUUGCUUCCGUACGCAGCAAUAAUUGCUUGUGCGACACCGUGUUAUUACUCUGGUACAGUACUCCCUCCGUUGCAGUACACUGGUCCAGGCGUCAGGACACUGCUCCUGCCCUCGUGGUUCACGUGCAUCAGGCCAGCAGACAAGCUAUGAUGUUGCCAACAGUGUUUGUUUGAACAUGGAGAUGUCAUUGUGAUUGUCAGGGACCCGACACCAUGCAUGCCGAUUUCAUAUUCUUAAUAUUUAUUUUUUUAAUGGUUGUUGAAACUAUAUAGUUACUCCAAUAUCACGUUUCCGAUUAUAAAAAUUAACAUAAAGAGAUCGGAAGGGAGAGCCCGCAUAAUGAAGCCGACGCGUAUAAUAAGCACUAGAGCCGGCAUUUAUACAAACGGGUACGCAUAGUAAAAACUAGAAUUUAUAAAUAAAUGAAGAUAUUCAAAUAUCUGGCUUACUUUUUUCAUUAAUUUUGCAUGAAUAAGGGAUGAUUCAUUAAUCAUUAUUGAACAAAUUGGCACACAUGCUUCGUGCCCGCGUUGUGAGCAUUAUGCGAUGCCACUGAGCUGCACCACCACGGUAGAGGGCCUGUUUGCGAUGCCACCGAGCUGCACCACCACGGCAGAGGGUCUGUUUGGGAAGGGGAAGUUAAAGUUUAACACCCCCCAUUUAACACCUUUUUAACAAAAUGGCUGCUAAACACUUGUGUUAAAAGAGUAGUGUUAAAAUUUAACACCUCUCUUUUCAUAAACACAUGGAGGGGGUGUUAAAAUUUGCUAAAUGUGUUAAAAGUGGUCCCCUCCCCACUUAUUCCUUGGUUGCCCCCCUCUCUCUCCUCCUCUCUCUCCUACCCGCCGCAUUUAAGAGCAUUAUUGAGGGGUAAUGCAGUCCUUUUCCAACAAAAGUGUUAAACUUUAACAACCCUUCCCAAACAUGCCACAAGCAACACCACCGGCUGACUGUGCUAGCGGGGAGCACCCUCACCGCCUGCCCGUGGGGACUUCUUCUGCCGGCCAUCGUGUCUUUGUAGGACCGCCGCGUGAGCCUAUGAGCCACCGGUGGCCGUGCGCCCAAGGGCCAUCACCAUGCCACCUGAGGAUGCUGUCUACCCGGUGCCGCGUGCCUCUGCUAGCUGCUUGCACCUGGGCCGCCGCUGGUCGCCUGCACAGCCACGCGUUACAGCCGCCCCCCUGCGCUGGGCCACCCCAUUUCGUGUUGGAAGAACUGCCACAGUCUCGCGCACUGGGGUUUUGCUAGUGACGACCAUAGCCUCCAAGAUCAAAUGAAAAAGUUGGUACUCAAAACAUACAUCCAUUAAUCUAGUCGUGCUAAUCCUUACCACCAAAUAAAAACUAGCAUGUGUUGUGUUUUUGUGACCCUAAACGAUCACAAAUGAAUAACUUAUGGGCGUUGCUAGCCUAUAAGUUAUGGGCGUUUGUGACCCUAGUCGCGCCGGGGUCUUGCUGGUGACAACCAUGGUCUUCGCGAUAAAGUAUUAAGUCUCAUCGAGUUCUACAAUUUUGAUAUAAAAUUUCUAUUCAUCCGAGAUCAAAUGAAAAACAAAUGAAAAAAUCCGAAGUAUUAGGCUUCAUCGAGCUCUACAAUUUUGAUAUAAAAUUUCUAUUCAUCCGAGAUCAAAUGAAAAAAUCCGAGAUCAAAUGAAAAGUUGGAACUCAAAACAUACAUCCAUUAAUCUUGAUAUAAAAUUUCUAUUCAUCCGACAUCAAAUGAAAAAGUUGGUACUCAAAAUAUACAUCCUUUAAUCUAGUCGUGCUAAUCCUUACCACCAAAUAAAAAAACUAGCAUGUGUUGUGUGUUUCUGACCGUAAACGAUCACAAAUGAAUAACUUAUGGGUGUUGCUAGCGUCCCGGACGCUAGCAUCGGACGCAUGAGCAGCCGUCCGAUCGGGUCCGACACCACUUCACGAUCUGUCUUAAAAAAAAGUCCCACCGAAACAUUGUUCCAUGUUGCAUGAAAUACCCCACUAUCCAUCGCCAGGUCUACAGCAAGCACCACCUUCCAAUCUGCUGCUCACCCAAGCUAAAUAGGGGCAUUAAAAUUGCAGAAAUAUGUCACAUAUCCUUGUCAAAUUAAACUAAAUCGCAACAUCCGAAAAUUUCUUACACAAAACCAUGAAACAUAUCGAUUAGAUAGGUGUAACAAGAUGGAAUAUGGUAUCCAACAUAUAGAUUCCGAAAAACAGAUGAAACAUUAUGUAACGAUUGUUGAAACAGUCGAGAAAUAUAGAUGUAACGAUUAAAAUUUAGAAAAGAAGCUUUAUGCAAAUUGCAAAAAGCUGAAAUAAGUGGUUGAAACAUUUCGAAUCACCAAAUGCCACAUUUGAAAUGGCUACAUGAAACAUCACGAAAUCAAUUGCAACAGUUGAAGAUGAAAACAUUCAAAUGCCUUGCCUUUCUCCAGAUUUGACCCUCCAAGCAUGAGUCCAGCCAUUUGCACAUUAGACCCUUGGGAGGAGCUCACCGGAGAACAACAAGACCGUGUUCUCCAACAAUUUUCUGAUCAAAUUGCAACAGACAAAACAAAGCAUUGCAACAUCUGGCAUCACGAGCUACAACAUCAACAAGUUAGGAUCAGGAGAAAGAGGGAAAACACAAGCCUAACAACCCCAAGACAAAACUGAUGUACUCAUCAUACAUCACGGCUUGCCGUGCACAGAGAUGAAGGCCGCCAAGCUCAAUCGAGACAGAGACGACGUGAUAGUGCUCCAGAUCGACGGUCCCCAUCAAUUGUUGCGUACACUGCCAAAAGCAAUGGAAGAAGAAGGGUCGUCCCUGCUCGACCUCCGUAGAUGAGCGCAGAUUGGGGGAAACCGUAUAGAGUGCCGCUGACAGCACAGGCGAGGGGGCUCAGGCUUGAUUCAGGGUGAGGGUAGCGGGUAGCAUGAGGAGACAGUCAGGUUUCAUAGGAGAGAGGCGGAGUAGAGAGCUCUGGUGACUCGGUGAGGAGGGUGCGGCACGGAGAAAGGUGUGUAGCUGAAGGAGCUACAUGGUUGGGGCGAGGCGAGCGUAGAGACUAGAGAGGGAAAAAAAGCAUGGGGAGGAGACGAUAUGUGGUUGAUGGUGCGGGCACGUGGUGAGCGCACCGUAUGAAAAUUUUGCUCGCGUCGGAUGACUGAUGUGAAGCAUUACCCAAUCUUAAUUAUCUCCCAUAAUCCAAAACUCACAAAAACAUCAAAAAUCCGCCGAGAAUAAAUUAAGUAAACCAUGCACACACAGAUAAUAAAAUUGCUAAUAAGGCCAGAGAUAAUACAUGAACAUAUUAGACUGUUCAUGACACAUAUCACGGUGGAUAGUGUCUGUGUCCUUAUUACAAGCAAUGAGAGAUGCUUGUCACCACACACACGCGCACAGAUGCAUGACAUACAUAUAGUUGAGACCAACAGAUGGAUCAACUAGAGGUCACCCCAUAUGGUGAACAAUUUAUUGGAGAUAAACAUUAACAUAACUUGGCCAUAGCUUGAAGCAUAGCAACAUAUGCCUAUGAAUGGCGUUCAUGCUAUCGUUUUAGGCUUGUCCAGCUUCUUUCAUCUUAGCAAGCACUUCCAUUUCUACCAUCUUAGCAGCAACUGUCAAAUUGAGAUAUGGAAAUCCCAUUAGCGCAUGAUUAAUUUUGCAGUGGAAAUAGAGUGCAAGAUAUCUUCAUGAUGUAAAUAACAUGCCUGAAGUUGUGAGAUGGGAAGUGAAGUCAACAAAUUACAUUAACGGAAAUGCAUGGAAGGCCACACAUACGUAUUAGUCCAUAAUACGCUACAAAGCUUGUAUGUACAUAUAGCAAAUUAAAUGCAUUAAUUGAAUAGAGUGAGUUUAGUGAAUUUACCAGAAUCGUCCAGAAAACAUGGGAAACAGCAAGUGUGCUUGCAGACUGUGUCGGAGCCACCCACACGAAUACAAAGCUGACAACAUGCUUGUGCCUCGUGGGAUACGCAGCAGCCGCACUGUGCCGCGGUGGCCGAGUUAACAUUGAGGCUCAAGAUGAACAGGCACAUGAUCACCAUCAAAGUGGUAGUCCUCUUUCCCUCCAUUGCCUCCUGUCGCUGCUACCUUCCUUGGUUACUAGUAAGUUUAUUGGUUUUGUGUUGAGAGGUGAUUCUUGCAUUGAAUGGACGUUGCCGCGGCUGCAAUUUAUAGGCAGCUGCGCUAUGUGAUGAUAUGGACAAGGUGCAAAUGGGUGGUCCUGAUAUGCAGGAGCGGAUCUAGGGCCCAGGCAGUUUAAAUUAAAGUCUCCUCAUAGGCAGUUUGACUAUGAUCAAUUUUACCUGUAUUUCUCAAUAUGUAGAUAAUUCUAUGCCAACAAUUAAAAACUAAUACAUAAUUUGACACGGUGUACCUCGAGAACGUUUUGAAAAUGUACUCUCUCGUUAGGCGUUCACCUCCUUAACAAUAACUGCGACUGUAAAAUAGGUACAUCGACGCUAGCUAAAUAAACCACUAUAAGAUUUAGCAAGAGAUCAUUUUAUACAAUCCUGUAACGAAAGAAUUUGACAAUUGUAGUGUCCAUAUAUUUUGACAAAAAACGUCUAAAUUAUAUAAGGAGGUGGGCCCGAAACAGUUGCAUUAGCAUAUGGUUACCCGUUUGUUGUCUUCCGGUCCUAAAAAAAGGACCAUCUUACUUAAAAAGGUUCUAUUAGGCCAUGCAGCCGGCUCUGUGGCACCAAAAAGAAAUUUUGACACGGUUUACAUCGAGAACGUUUUGAAACUAGACUUUGGUAAGCAGUUCAUCACCUGCUUAACAAUAACGGCGUACAUAGACGCUAUCUAAAUUAACCACUAUAAGAUUUAGCGAGAGAUCUAUUUUUUAUAAUUGCGUAUACCACUUUACGAGAGAGACGUCAAGAGCAUGAUGGUACACUUUGUAUAUAUCUUUGAAUUCCAGCUACGGGACUUUCUUGCCUUCGCCGAAAAAAUCUAUCGGUUUUAUCUUAAGGCCGAACAUCUCCCUCUCGUCAGCGAACUUCUUCAUGUACCAUUUAUGGAAUUUGUAUAUCAAAGCUUCCCUACCAACUCAGGCCUUACUGGAGAUUUGCCUAGCUCAAAGGUCCAUUUCAGUUCAACUAGCGGUCCAGCUGGCAGCUCAACUUGCCCAAGACACUCAGCAAGUCCCAUACCUAUUUCUUCCAUGAAUUUUAUUACUUCUGCUUGUUGAUGCAAGGGCAUUGCUGCUAUCUGUUUAGCGUCGUUUUCUAGUAGAUGCCCGAGGUGGGGGAUAGCACCACUUGAAGACAACUUUCCUUUCCUUUUUUUCCUCUCAUCAACCUUAACUAAUGCCCGUUCGUAGUUCGACAGUAGUGGCACUGACUUCUUGGUUGCUUCUUUCAUCUUUUUUUUAAAAAAAUAAUUCUCUUCGAUCUAUUAGCGGUGGCUCCAUCUCCUUUGCUUUUUUUUCUUCGACCCUUUUCUUGAACCACUCCCUGCAUUCUGCUUGGUUUCGGCCCAGCGUUCCGCUUGAGUCAUUGCCUCUUGGCGUUUCUCAGGAGUCACUUUAGGCUCCUUUAUUUUUUUCUUUCUCUAUCUUGGCUUGGGAGGCAAUGGUCGUGACUUCUUAAGUGGUGCUGCAGUUUCCUUGCUCUAGGCUUCUCUUAGUCCCGAUGACGAUGAUCGGGGAGGAGUGUUGUUGUCCUCGUCGUCGCUCGCACCACCAGGAUGUGGUGGAGAUGGAGACCUUGAUCGAGCAGGAAGCGACGGUCCCUGUGGUGACGACGGUCCUGGAGCAGGUUGUGCUGGAGAUGAUGGUCCUGGAGCAGGCCGUGGUGGAGAUGACGGUCUUGAGCUUUGGGGAGAGGGUCGCUGCUGGGGAUUUGUGGGGAGCAGUCUUGAGCUUUGAGGAGAUGCCUCAAUGCCGGGGAUGAUGAUGUAGCAUUUGUGCCAUAGAAUGAUCCCGUGAAGCGCAUAUCCUAGUGUCCUUUCCCCGUCACCUCCCGGGAGGUCGAGCUCUAGGCCUUCAUAUUGGCUAUCAACGAGCUGCUCUAGGCCGACGCUGGCGUAGCCAGGUGGAAUCUCAAUGCCAUGGCUUGUCUGCCCUGGCAGGAUUGGUAAGGCACUCUCAUACACCACCUGUACAUAUAGCAGAAAUAAAGAAGUUAUUAAACUCCGAUCCCGAGGUGUGGAUGGAUGAUUGAGAAGAUUGCAAAAAUAUCAUGUAUAAGUAUACCUUAAUGGUGAUGUUGUCGACCGAUUUAUGCAGCUCACAUGAGGUGCGUUGCGUGAUGACAUCCAUAGGGAACCGUUGCUCAACCAUGGGUAAUCCUUGCAUUUAUGGAUCGGGGAGCCCUGUGGAAGCACAGCUGCUCCCGAGGUGUUAAGAAGGGCUAGCGACGUUUGGAUCCGACAGUGCUCUAGAUUGGGCUAACUCCGCAACUGCUAGGGCCACUCGACAAUUGAUUUCCUCUUGCAUUCUUACUUCUUGUGAAUGCACUUUGGAUUCUAGCAUGCACCUCAAGGUCUCCUCAACAUGUUCCUUUCUUCGCUUGUGGCUUUGGUACGAAGCGAUGUCACCUUGAAAAGCGAACUUCCACGGAAUGACCCCGUACCCUCGGCAAUGUCUUGGGUGCUCGGGAUUCCCGAGGGCCAAUGUGAGCUCAUGAUUCUCUCGGUCCACCUUCAACCUCCGAGCCUUAGCAUCUUCAAUGUUCUUCAUAAGCCUUUCGGCCUUCUGACGUAUUGUCUCAUUGAAGAUCAAUGUCACAUCCUCUUUGGCUCAGGUUGCCUCCAUGAGCGUAACACCAAUUUUUCGAUUGAUCGGGCCAUUCAAGAGUUGCUGGUAUGAUACUCUGAUCAAUCAGGUUUUGUUCCAUCUUGCACCAUCUGGGAAUUGCUGUGCCCUAACCACCUCACCCUAGACGAUGAUGGUACUCCUUCUUGCCAGCAUUUGCAACGUUGGUCUUGACCUUAUUCGCACCGUCUUCGCUCGUCUUGUGUUCGACAAAUGCCUCCCAGUGGUCCCUCAACUUUUGCCACUCAUCGAAAUCCGGAGUUUAGCCAUUCUUGAUGAAUGUGGCAUCCAGCAUCUUCUUGAAUGUCUGGAAUUGUGUGGCCAUCUUCUUCAGCGUCCACGGUUUCACAUCAUCUUCAUUACAUCCUUCGGGAAAUGUGAAAUGUCUCUUAACAUCUGCCCACAGCAUAUUCUUUUCUGAAUCCGGGAGCGUGUAUGGAUUAGUACUUUUGUCCUUCCAUUCCCUGAUGCUGAUAGGCAGAAGCUAGAGACUAUUUCUUUUUCUAAAAAUACACAUGAGGGAGAAAAUUGGUAACAGCUAAACAGUGCAGAUUGCAUUUCAACACACGUUUUUAUAGCUGAGCACACGUCUGAAUCCCAUUUUUAAGUGUUCGGUCCUACACCCACAUUUUCAUCCCAGGUUGUCGGUUUAGUCAUUUUUUACCUUCCAUGACCUAUAGCACACAUUUUUAUGGUAGAACACGCAUUCAGAGGUCAUUUCCACAUCUUCGGUCCAUCCCCAUAUUUUCAUCCCCGGUGGCCAGUGUGGCUGUUUUCGAACUAACGUGACUUAUAACACACGUUUUCAUAGCCGAACACGUGUCCGAAGGCCAUUUUCAAGUGUCUAGUCUGACACCCACAUUUUUGUCCCCGGUGGCCGGUAUGGCUAUUUUUGUGCUCCCGUCACCUAUAACACACAUUUUCAUGGUCGAACACACGUCCGGAGGCCAUUUUAAGUUGUUCGGUCCAUCCCCACAUUUUUUACCCCGGUGGUCGGUGUGGCCAAUGUUUUCUUGGUCGAACACGCAUCCGGAGGCCAUUUUCACUUGUUCGGUUCGACACUAACAGUUUCAUCCCGGUGGCCGGUGUGGCUAUUUAUCGUUCUCCCAUGACCUAUAACACACAUUUUCAACACUAACACUUUCGGAGGCCAUUUUCAAUUGUUCGGUCUGACACCAAUGUUUUGGUCCCCAGUGGCCGGUGUGGCCGUUUUCAACCUCCCGUGACCUAUAACACACAUUUUCAUAGCUAAACACGCGCCCGGAGGCCAUUUUCAAGUGUUCGGUCUGACACCCACAUUUUCGUCCCCGGUGACCGGUGUAGCUCUUUUUGGCCUUCCAUGACCUAUAGCACACGUUUUCAUGGCCAAACACACGUCUGGAGGCCAUUUUUCACUUGUUUGGUGCAUCCCUAGUUUUUGCUCCAGUGCUAAUGUGGUCGUUUUUAGGCUUCGACCUAUAGCACACAUUUGCAUGGUUGAACACGCGUCCAGACGUCAUUUUCACUUGUUCGGUCCAUCCCCCACGAUUUCAUCCCCGGUGGCCGGUGUGGCCGUUUUUGGGCUCCCAUGACCUAUAACCCACGUUUUCAAGGCCGAACUCGCGUCUGGAGGCCAUUUUCACUUGUUCAGUCCAUCCCACAUGUUCUCGUCCCCGGUGGCCGGUGUGGUCAUUUUCAGGUUCCCGUGACCUAUAAUCCUCGUUUUCAUGGCUGAACACACGUCCGAAGGCCAUUUUCGCUUGUUCAGUCCAUCCCCCAUGUUUUCGUCCCAGGUGGCCAGUGUGGCCGUUUUUGAACUAACGUGACCUAUAACAUACGUUUUCAUAGCCGAACACGUGUCCGAUGUCCAUUUUCAAGUGUUCGGUAUGACACCCAAGUUUUCAUUCCUGAUGGCUGGUGUGGCCAUUUUCGGGCUCCCGUGACCUAUAACACAUAUUUUCAUGGCUGAACAUGCGUCCAAAGGCCAUUUUCAUUUGUUCAGUCCAUCCCCCACGUUUUCAUCACCGGUGGCCGGUGUGGCCAUUUUAGUGAUCCCGUGACCUAUAAAACACGUUUUGAUAGCCGAAGACGUGUUUGCAGGCCAUUUUCAAGUGUUCGGUUUGACACCCACGUUUUCGUCCCCGGUGGCCGGUGUUGCUGUUUUUUGCCUUCCAUGACCUAUACACGUUUUCGUGGCUGAACACGCGUUCGGAGGCUAGUUUCACGUUUUCAUCCCUGACGGCUAGUGUGGCCAUUUUCGGGCUCCCGUGACCUAUAACACACAUUUUCAUGGCCAAACACAAGUCCGGAUGCCAUUUCCAGUUGUUCAGUCCAUCCCCCACAUUUUCAUCCUCGGUGGCCGGUGUGGUAGUUUUUGGCCUCCCGUGACCAACAACACACAUUUUCGUAGCUGAACACAUGUCCGGAGGCUAUUUUCAAGUGUUUGGUCCUACACCCAUCUUUUCAUCCCCGGUGGGUAGUGUAGCCAUUUUUUAUCUUCCGAAACCGAUAGCACACGUUUUCACGAGCAUGGCCUGUGAGGCUUAGCUUCUCGUAACCGUAGGUCAUGGCAGGGUUUGAUCGGUCAGGAGGCUGAAGAGUAAGUUACUUUGGGUAGUCAGUGGAAUGGGAUGCCCUUUCAUUUGGGCGAAGUGUGUGAUCGCACGAAAGUAAAGAGCAGGUGGUACUGCACCCUCGUGGAGCCCCCGAGCGACCCAAGCUAAGAGUGCUCGGGCUGGGGCGCUAUAGGAGCGAGUAUCAAAUGGAAACAACUGGUAAAACCAAGCUAGGGAAAUAAACAAUGUAACUGCUCAAUGUUCCAUGUGUUGGUGAGGAUGUUGCCGUCGUCGUCCUUCAGUCAGUAGGCGCAUGGUCGGAUCACCUCGGUGACUGUGUACAGUCCUUCCCAUGGCGGAGAGAGCUUGUUCUUAUUAUUGGUCGACUAGGUCCUUCGAACCACAAGGUCACCAAUCUCGAGGGUCCUCCCUCGGAUUUUCCUCUCGUGGUACCUACGAAGGGUUUGCUGGUAACGAGCGGAGUGGAUGAUGGCCAUCUCAUGUGGCUCCUCGAGCAGGUCGACUAUGUCCUGCUAAGCUUCUGUAGCUCGGUCUUGGUCGAAGGCCUUUACCCUUAGGGCACCGUAAUCGAGGUCGAACGGUAACACGGCUUUGGCUCCGUACACCAAUAAGAAGGGGGUGAACCCUGUGGAUUGGUUUGGGGUCGUUCUAAGGCUCCAGAUUACCACUGGGAGCUCUGUGACCCAUCACCCGGUGUGCUUUUUUAGCCGGUCGAAAAUGCAAGGCUUGAGCCAUUGGAGGACCAUGCCAUUCGCUUGCUUGACCUGAUCGUUGGUUUGUGGGUGCCCGACCGAGGCCCAGUCGAUCCUAAUGUCGUAUCCAUCAUAGAAAUCCAGGAACUUCUUGCUAGUGAAGUUUGUUUCGUUGUCUGUGAUGAUGCAGUUAGGGACGCUAAACCGAUAGAUGAUGUCAAGGAAGAACUCGACUGCGUCUUGUGACCGGAUGUUGGUGAUGGGCUUCGCCUCAAUCCACUUGGUGAAUUUGUCCACCGCCAUGAGUAGGUGAAUGAUGCCACUCGGGGCCUUUUUAAGGGACCCAACUAUGUCGAGGCCCCAGACCGCGAAUGACCAGAUGAUGGGGAUGGACUAGAGCUCUUGCGUCGGCAGGUGAGUUUUCUGAGCAUAGAACUGGCAGCCUUCACACUUGUGGACCACCUCCUCUACGUCUUGAAAUGUUGUGGGCCAGUAAAAACCUUGGCAAAAGGCUUUCCCGACCAGUGAUCUCAGGGACGCAUGGUGUCCGCAGAUUCUGGCAUGGACAUCAAGAGAAGUUGUUUCCCCUAAUUGGUCGGGAUGCACUUCAUGAGUAUUCCCGAUGGACUUCAUUUGUAACGUUCAUCACCGAUGGCGACAAAUGUCUUGACGCGUCAAGUGAUUCAUCGUGCUUCAAUCCUCUCCAGUGGGAGGACCUCUUCGAGGAUGUAGGCGAGUAACGACGCUCUCCAGUUGGUUGGGUCAUGCACCAUUACGUCAGUGCUUCUAGGUGAGGUCGCCAUAGGGGCAUCAGGGUCGGAGCCCCUGAGCACGCAAUCGGACUGUGACUGGGUUGGGUCCUCUCGGACACGGGCAGAUGGUUCAUGGAGGUCGUUCACGAAGACUCCGUUGGAAGAUGGGCCCCAUCUAGGUGCCAAUUUUGUGAGGAAGUUAGCAACAUCAUUGUCCUUUUGUGGCACAUGAUGUAGCUCGAUCCCUCGGAACUUGUCUUCUAACUUGCAUACAUCUUGACAGUACGCUGCCAUGAGAGGGCUCCUGCAGGAGGACUCCUUCAUGACUUGGUCGACCACUAGCUCCAAGUCGCCGCAGCAUAAAGCCGCAUCUCGCCGAGCUCGAUGGUGAUACGUAGCCUAUUGAUGAGGGCUUCGUACUCCAUGAUGUUGUUCAAGGUUGGAAAAUGGAGACGGAUCGCGUAGCGGAGCCUAUUCCCCUGUGGUGAGAUAAGGACCACUCUAGCCCUCGAGCCAGGUCCCAUGAUCGAACCGUCGAAGUACAUCAUCUAGUACUCGUGGGUGACAUCCAGGGUCAGGAUCUGGACUUCCAUCCACUCGGCGAUGAAGUCGGCCAGGUCCUAAGACUUGAUAGCUAUGCAGGGGACGUACUUGAUGUCAUGGCCCAUGAGCUCAAGCAUGCACUUGGAGAUUCGCCCCAUAGCAUCACGGUUGCAGAUGAUCUCUCCCAGCAGGUACAAGGUGAUGAUCGUGACCUCAUGGUCGGUGAAGUAGUGUCGGAGCUUCCGGGUUGCCAUCAGCAUGACGUACAGAAGGUUCUGGGCUUGGGGUAACGCAUGUUGGCGUCAUGUUGACACCAUGUUUUGACAUACGUCAAACAUGGCGUCAAAAGAAAAUAGAGAUGCCAGCGCAUAGUGGAAGGACAACGGCUAGUGGAAUCGACUGGUAAGGUUGUAGAGGGUUGAGCCGAUAGAGUAAGGCAGAAGCCUAGGCGAUGGGAUCACAGGGGCAUAGCCCAUAGAGUCAGACGAUGCGAGCAGGAGGGUUCUAGCCGAUAGGAAAUGUUGGAGGUUCGGCCGAUGAGGAGCUGGUUUUGGUCGGUAGAAGCCAAGUUCGUUUCUGACUCCUACAUGAGUCAUUUUUAUUUAGAAAGUUUGUUUCUUUAGAGAUAGGUCUUAUGAUUUGUUGUAACCGACUAGGAUUAGAAAUCUUGAUGUAUAGGGUAUAAAUAGGGGCCUUGUAAGGUUUGGAAAAGACACACACAUCAUAAUCAAUACAAAUCUACUAUUUUCGCAAUCUACUUUCAAGUCGACGACUUCGCCAUUGUUUUGUUUUCUUCACGAGUUCUUCCAAGCUGGUUGGGCUGCAUUGCUUCGAUCUCCAGCUAGACUGUAAGUUUCGCGUUUACUGAAUACCUCCUAGGCUUUAACUUUGGGUGCAUUGCUGUCAUUUCGUCUGGAUUUAUUCACAAGUUAUCGAUAUUUACUGGAUCUGCAUGUUUUAUUUGUUAAAUCUUGUUGCUUUAGUUUUUAUCACGGUUAUCCAGCUUAGAACACAUUCCAAUCAGCUUUUUCUUUAUUUCUCAUACUAAUCUACUAUCACCCAGCCGAUUAGAUCUGUUUUAAUUGGUGUUCAUGUAAUGCUAUUUAGGUUGUAUUUUACGCUUCCUUUACAUCUACUACAUCCACAUCGGCUGAUCUAGCCGAUUGUCUUUUCUCGUGUCGGCAGCUCUACGAUACGUCCUGUGGAGCGAUUUAGAAUGCCAGCUGAUUUGCUCUUGUAUUUGACAUUUUACCUGUCCUUUUCAAUCAAUAGGUCAGAUUGACUGGCACACCAUGGAUCGAUAGGGCUACAACCCAAACAGGAGCGAAGCAGAUUCUCCCCGGUUUUGUGUGUUAGUGCGCGGGAGCCGUCUCUCAAUUUUUGCGUCAACACAUCGGUGAGUACUUCACUGAUGAAGUACACCGGUCGCUGGACCUUCAGCGCAUGUCCUAGCUCCUCUCUAUCGACUACAAGGGCAGUACUAACCACGUGGUCGCUUGCCGCGAUGUAGAGGAGAAGGGGUUCUUCCUGCUCGGGAGCGAUGAGGACUAGGGCCGAAGUCAGCAAUGCUUUGAGGCUUUCCAAAGCCCAUUGUGCCUCCUCCAUCCAGACGAAUGCGUCUGCCUUCUUGAGGAGUGUGUAGAGAGGCAUCCGUCGUUCGCCUAGUUGGGAGAUGAACCGGCUCAGGACGGCCAAACAACUAGUGAGCCUCUGUAUGCCCUUGAUGCUGUGUAUGGGGCCCAUGUUGGUGAUGGUCGUGAUUUUUUUGAGGUUGGCUUCAAUGCCGCGCUCGGACAUGAUGUACUUGAGCAGCUUCCCCUUUGGAACCCCGAAAACACAUUUCUCAGGAUUAGUGGGGUUGUGGUGCUGCACUACUCCAGAACAACAACACUGCGGCACGCUUGCUCAAUCAGACGGCAAACCAGCCUGCUCUAGCAUACAACCUCCAUCACCAUCGGCUCCGCAGCCAGCCGUCCAGCGUUAUCAGCAGCAUCCACUAGAAGUCAGCAGGGAGGAUGGUGUUUUGGAUCCUCACAGGGAUGGGUCACCUAUAGUGGUGUACGAUGAGGCAACCAGUGUGUUGCGGCAUGUUGAUUCUUCCCGCCAGUUGACCUAGCCGCAAUAUCUGCAACAUACAUCGGCUAUCCAAUAGCCAAUUGUGGUGCCACAAAUUCAGCAGCAGGUGCCAGUGGGCCAGCCAAUGCUCCAACCUAUGGUCCAGCAGUAGCCGCAACAGGUUGAUUGGGCCGCAAAGAUAGCUGGGGUGAUGCAAGAUCAGUUCGGUCUAAAACCUAAAGUGCAGACCUACACGUACAGAAUGCCGUACCCACCAGCCUAUGACAUGUUGUCGUUCCCUCACCGAUUUCACCAAGUUCUCGGGACAAGAUGAGGCAUCUACGGUGGAGCACGUCAAUAGGUUCAUCAUUCAGUGUGGAGAGUCAGCUGUGCAGGAUGCUCUGAGGGUUCGGCUGUUCUCAUCAUCUCUGUCCGGGUCAGCCUUCCAGUGGUUCACGACGCUUCCACCUAACUCCAUUAUCACCUGGGACAAUCUGGAGAAAUAGUUCCACAAAAACUUUUUUGCUAGGGUUCACGAGAUGAAGCUGACAGAUCUAACUAGUCUCAGGUAGAGGAGUGAUCAAUCGGUGGCCAGUUUCAUCCAACGGUUUAGGGAAGUCAGGAACAAGUGCUACAGUUUGGUCUUGAGCGAUAGCCAACUAGCCAACACGGCUUUUUAGGGGCUUCACAGGAGUUCGAGAGUUUGAGCCAGAUUGUACACCGGUUGUCAAACCAAGACGUACACCCAUUUGAUUAGAGAAAGAAUUUCCAGAAGAAGGUGGCGUACGUGGAGUGUUUGGACUUAGAAGGAGAAGCAGAGGUCAGCUUGGCAGAGUGGGUUAAAGUCCAAAAAGCCGAUCUCUUGCCCGUACGGCAAGAAGGAGCCUGAGAAAUUCGAGUUCAAUAUUUCCAAGGCCAAUAAGAUCUUUGAUUUGUUGCUGCAAGAAGGGAAAAUCAAGCUCUCACCAUACCACACGAUCCCAUUGACUGAAGAACUUAAGAAGAUCAAGUACUGCAAGUGGCACAAUGCCACAUCUCACAACACCAACGAGUGCAAAGUCAUCUGCCAGCAGAUCCAAUUAGCUAUUGAGCAAGGGAGGCUCAAGUUUAAAGCUCCUUCAAAACCAGCAAAGCCGAUGAAGAUCGACCAACAUCCAUUCCCAACAAAUAUGGUAGAAGUCGGAGGCAAAAGCGCACCUCCCACAAAGGUGCUGACAUCAGAACCAGCCAAGAGGAGUGGAGAUGUGGACCCUAGAGUAUAGGUGUCGGCCAACGAUGUCAAGUUGAACAGUCAGUUGCAAGAAGGUUAAGCUCAACAAGGCCUCAAUGGCCGAUAUCCUCCCAAGAGUUUCUCAAUAAGUUAUAGAGAUAGCAAGACCAGGCAAGGCACCGGGAAGAGAUGACACAUCACCAUGAAAACCACUGGAGAUGCCCAUUCUUCAUAUACUGCUAGGAGGAGCGGAUCAAGAUACCAUCGAUUGACAACUACCCCGAAUGCAAUGGGUCAUACCAAGGCAGCCGAUUGUCCAAAAGACCGUGCUUUGAUGAUAGGAAUCAAAAGCCGAUCAAUAGGGAUAGACCUUACCAUGAUGACAGGUGCAUCCCAAUGCGUGAUUGACUGGGGGGGCAGGAUCAGUAUACAUGAUUGGCUGGAGGGCAGGCUAAAUGUUCCCAACAGACUAGAGGAAAGAGCCAAUGCAAGAGUCCUCGAUGAAGAGCCUUUGUGUCGCGAACCAGAGCGGCGGCGUGCAUCAUGAGACAAAGCUAUAGAAUAGCCUAGAUGGUGCCCAGCGGGUUUGACUAAGUCCCAGAAGAGACGGGUUCAAUGCAUGCGACAAUGGGAGUAUCAAGAAGAGGAACAAAGGUGUGCUUCAGAAAGGAAAGGGGUCAAAUCCUAGGUGUGGCACAUCAAAGACAAAGCCGAUGACGAAGAUAACAAUCCCAAAUCAGCUGUUGAUGUCAACAUGGUUUUCGUAUUACCGAUGGAAUUCAUGGCUCCAACCAAUCACAAGGCAACAGAAGCAGAACAGGGGAUGGCACAAUUAACCUUGGAGCUGAUGUCAGCCACCUUUGAGAAACCCAAAGAUGAAAAACGUCGGCACCUGAAAGCCCUCUUCCUCAAGGGGCAAAUCGACGGGAGGCUGAUUACCAAGCUUCUGGUGGACAGUGGUGCAGCCGUGAACAUCAUGUCGUAUGCCAUGUUCCGCAAGCUCGGCAAAGGCGAAGAAGACUUGAUCAAAACAGACAUGAUGCUGAAGGACUUCAAAGGAAACAUCUCUCCGGCCCAGGGGGCACUCUGCGUCGACCUCACCAUCGGCAGUAAGACCCUAGCUACUACUUUCUUUGUUAUUAAUGGUAAAGGGUCCUACAAUAUGCUUCUGGGUCAAGAUUGUAUUCACGCCAACUACUACAUCCCGUCUACAAUGCAUCAAUGUCUCAUCCAAUGGGUCGGCGACUCAGUUGAAGUGGUCACCGCUGAUUCUUCUUUCAGCGUCGUUGCAGCCGAUGCACAAUAGUAGAAUUGCAAAUAAGUCAGCUGCAUAUCUGGCAGAGUCUAGGAUACAGAUUUCUUGAAGAUGUCCAAUUUUGGACUACAGCGAUCCAAGUAGUCGGCUCUGAAGAAUUGUCCUGAUGGAUGAGUUCACCCAAGAAGAUGGGAAGCUGGAGCAUGAGUUUAUGUCAGUCGACGAGUUAGAGAUGGUAGAGCUUGAAGAUGGGAGCAAGCCAAAGCAGACAUAUAUUAGUGCUAAGUUAGAUCCUGAGUAUAAGCAUGAACUAAUUAAGUUGUUAAAAGAAUUCAAAGAUUGUUUUGCUUGGGAGUAUCAUGAAAUGCCUGGUUUAGAUCAAUCUAUUGUCGAACAUCAGUUGCUAAUAAAAUCAGGAUAUCGGCCGUAUCAGCAACCUGUGUGACGUUGUAAUCCGAAGAUUUUACUUGAUAUUAAGGCUAGGAUCACAAGAUUAAUUGAUGUGGGGUUUAUUCGGCAAUGUCGGUAUGCUGAGUGGAUUUUUAAUGUGGUUCCCGUAUACAAGAAGAAUGGAAAACUGCACAUUUGUAUUGAUUUCAGGAACCUCAAUCAAGCCACACCAAUGGAUGGUUGUCUGAUGCCGACAGCUGAUGUGUUGAUAGAUGCUACUUUAGGAUACAAAGUCAUUAGUUUCAUGAAUGGUAACGUUGGAUAUAACCAAGUAUUGAUGGAGAAAGAAGAUAUUUCCAAGACGGCUUUCGGGUGUCCUGGACACAACGGUUUAUUUGAAUGGGUGGUCAUGACCUUCGGAUUGAAAAAUGCUAGGGCUACAUAUCAGCGAGCCAUGAAUUACAUUUUCCAUAAACUUAUCGGCAUCCUAGUGGAAAUUUAUAUCGAUGAUGUCGUAGUCAAAUCGAAAGGGUAUCGAGAACACUUAGCCGAUUUGCGUGAAGUCCUGGAAUGCACAAGGAAAGAUGGGUUGAAAAUGAAUCCGAAUAAAUGUGCUUUUGGCGUGUCGGCUCGAAAGUUCUUGGGGUUCAUGGUUCACGAGUGAGGCAUUGAAAUUAAUCAGAGGAUCAUUGGUUCUAUUAACAAAGUUGUGGCUCCGUAAAAUAAGACUGAGUUGCAGUCAUUAAUCGAUAAAAUUAAUUUCAUCCAAAGAUUCAUAUCGAACCUGUCUGGAAGGAUUCAAUCUUUCAGCCUGUUGCUUAAACCAAAAGUCGAUCAAGAGUUCGUUUGGGGGUAGAGCAGCAAAAUGCAUUGGAUGAUAUCAAACAAUACCUGGUGUCACCUCCUAUAUUGGUUCCUCCACAAGCUAACAAGUCGUUCAGGUUAUACCUCUCAGCCUAUGAGUGUGCCAUUGGGUCGGCUCUUGUCCAAGAACUUGAAGGGAAGGAACGAGUAAUUUAUUAUGUGAGCAGAAGACUCUUGGAUGCAGAGACCAGGUAUUCCCCAGUUGAGAGGUUGUGUCUAUGCCUAUAUUUCUCCUGCACUAAGCUUAGACACUAUUUAUUAUCCGCCGAGUGCGUUGUGGUAUGCAAGGAUGAUGUGGUCAAAUACAUGUUGCCAUUGCCAAUUCUAAAUGGAAGGAUUGGGAAGUGGAUUUUGACUCUGUCGGAGUUUGACCUAAAGUACGAAUCAACUAAAGCUGUCAAAAAGGGCAAGUCAUGGCCGAUUUUGUUACUCAUCAUUGUAGGCCAGAGGUUGCUAUUGUUGAGGUAGCCCAAUGGACUUUAUUCUUUGAUGGAUCUUCAUGUGGGAUUGGAUCAGGAAUCGGCAUAAUCCUUAUAUCACCUUGGGAGGCGAACUACAAGUUCUCACUGCCAGUUGAGGCUUCUGCUACCAACAACCAGGCCGAGUAUCGAGCCAUUUUGAAGGGGAUCCAAUUGCUGAGAGAAAUCAAAGCUGAUGCUGUUGAGAUUUUUGGGGAUUCUAUGCUUAUCAUCAACCAGCUGACUGGAGGAUGUGAAUGCAGAGAUGAUAUUUUAAGAAUUUACUAUGAACAGUGCCUUCAGUUACUCAAAGAAUUCAAGAGUGUGGUUAUUGAGCAUAUUCCCAGAGAUUACGAUGAGGAUGCUAACAAGCUCGCCGCAUGCUUCUGGUUAUCGACCGAUCUGUGGUGUUAUGGCCUUAGAGUUAAUGGCCGAUGAUUGGAGGAAAGAAAUAGUAGAUUACUUAAAAGAUCCCUCCAAGAAAGUCGAUAGGCGAGUUCGAUUUCAGGCUUUGCAAUAUGUGUUGCUUGAAGAUGACCUUUAUUAUCUGAUGAUUGAUGGGGUCUUGCUUAAAUACCUCAGGGUUGAAGAAGCCAAGAAACUGAUGGGCGAAAUUCAUGAAGGGGUUUGCGGAGCUCAUCAAUCGGCUUUCAAGAUGAAGUGGAUGAUUAGAAACAAGGGGUAUUAUUGGCCGACUAUACUUGAAGACUGCUUUAAAUACUAUAAAAGUUGUCAAGAUUGUCAGAAGUUUGGCAAUGUGCAAAGAGCCCCGGCAUCGGCUAUGAAUCCUAUAAUAGAGUUGUGGCCAUUUAGGGGGUAUCGAUUUGAUCGGCCAGAUUUAUCCACCUUCAAGCAAGGGUCAUAAGUUCAUACUAGUAGCAACGAAUUAUUUCACUAAGUGGGUUGAAGCAAUUCCCUUGAAAAAUGCAACAUCGGCAAGCAUGGUUGAUUUUGUCAAAGAACACAUCAUCUAUCAAUUUGGUAUCCCUCAAACUAUCACUACCGAUCAAGGGACAAUGUUCACUUCGAGAGAGUUUGAGGAAUUCGCUACUAGUAUGGGAAUUAGGUUGUUGAAUUCUUCUUUGUAUUAUGCCCAGGAAAAUGGUCAAGCUGAAUCAUCCAACAAGGGGAUCAUUAAAUUAAUUAAGAGGAAGAUCGAAGAGCAGCCAAGGCGCUGGCACACUACGUUGAGCGAAUCCUUAUGGGCGUAUCAAAUGGCUUGUCACGGAGCCACAAAAGUAUCCCCUUAUCAAUUGGUUUAUGAACAUGAAGCAGUUCUACCUUGGGAGUUAAAGACUGGGUCUAGGCGUGCAUCGUUGCAAGACCAGUUAACAGCCGAAGAAUACUCUACUUUGAUGAAAGGGGAUUUGGAAGACCUAGCGGGUCAUCGACUAAGGUCUUUGAUCAGCAUCGAAGAAAAUAAGAAGAGGGUGGCUAGAUGGUAUGACAAAAAGGUCAAGGUCAAGGAGUAUUCCCAAGGAGAUUUAGUCUGGAAGCCGAUAUUGCCGAUUGUGUCUAAAGAUCCCAAAUUUGGGAAAUGGUCGCCUACAUGGGAGGGACCGUAUCGGAUAAACCGGUGUGCUCCUGGUAAUGAGUAUAUUUUGGAGACACUUGAAGGAGAGGAGUUCACAAGGGCUCUAAAUGGAAAAUACUUUAAGAAGUACUACCCGAGUAUAUGGGUAGAUGCAUAGCCGAUGGUGUGAUGCCUCGGACUAACAUAGACGAUAUUGAGGGUAUCGCCUUUAGUCUAAAAAGAAAAGAAGGAAAAAGGCAGACACAUGGAUAGCCGAUAAAAUCAGCUGUGAUAUGGCCGAUGUGAUACAAGUCACCCUUAGAACAAAUAAUACUUGCAACACUUCGGACACAACAGGUUAUUACAUCAAAGUCAUCAUUAUAUCAUGGCCAAGACAUUCCAUUACAGGCAAAUCUGGAUGGCUCCCUAUUGAUAUCGGCAAAUACUUACUCCCUUUGGCGAGAUGUGCCUAGGAGACGCCCCAGUUGAGCCUUAGUAGUGCCGAUUUCCCUGUUGACCUGGCCCAAUUCCAGUAGAAGUUGAAUUUUCCUAGCCUCCAAACUGGCCAACUUGUCUUCGAGCAAUACACGGGGGGGGGGGGGGGGGGGGGGGGGAGAGAGGUUGAUGGCUUCGAAGGAUUGGCUGCUGCAUUUGCUGGUUUGAGCCUGCAGCUUUGAUUGAGGACAAGAUCGAUUUGAUGUCCAUAGGUAGAUGGUCUCUGAUUUGAUCACGAUGAGCUUGGAUCAAAGCUUUGUCCACCUAGGUGAGCGGCUCAUUGGAAUGAAGGAUCUGGAUGACCUAUUCAAGCUGUUCGUCCACUUGAUUUGGCUGGGAAAGAGAACAAAGAGUCAAGGUUUGGUUCAUGAUAACCAAUUCGGAAUAGAGAAAACAUAGCAAUACCUGGUUGACUGAAGAAGAGGAAGCCAUCUUGGUCGCGUGAAUUCAAUCUAGUUCGAAAACUCGCAGUGUGUGCGGUCUUGAAGGUGACCUCAAGGAAGGAGUAGGGGUCUGUAUUUAUAAGACGAAUAGACGUGUGAAAUGUGAACAAUGGUCGGUCAAAAGGGGCUUUAAAUGGGACUAGCCAUUGGCGAGUCAGAAAGAGCUGUGGAGAAACGGUCAAAUUACAUUCAAGAUGGAUAUUGAGCAUUGACAUCACGAGAGGAAUGUACCAAGUACCAGAAUACAUAAAAGCUAAUAACGUUCGUUACAAUUAUGCUAGAAGAGUUUGAAUGGCAUUUAUCGCACGCAGGCGAAUCUGAUUGGCAGCCUUUAUCUCCCUACGGUCGUCAUCGGCUGAGCCGGGUAUGUCAGUUAUGCUCCGAUGUAGCUGAAUAGCUUGAUGCGCAUGUGCUUGCUUUUCCUGCUCUAAUUGCUUGAGGACUUCUAGAAGUUGGGCGAGCUUGGUUUCUUCGACGAUGAUGGCAUCGCCGAUGCUUUUCAAUUCCUUCAUCAGUUUUUACCUCCUUGCUUUGAGCCAAUCAAUUUCACCAACAAUAUUGGGGCGAGAAUCCCUAAGAAAGCCGAUCUUGGGAUGGAUUUCAUCGGCCUAAAGCUUAUGGAAUUCCUUGUCCUUAUGCAAUUGUUCCUGUUUGGCGCGAUCGGCUGUGCGGCGUAGAGCCCUUAACAUCGGGACUUGGUGACUCCCUAUGUAGGCUGCGGGGAGGAUGGCUUCUUCUUUGUCUUCUAGGAUCUGGCCUUUGAGGUUGCGGAGGAUGUCGUGCAUCGGUUGUGCAUCUUUGACUAGUUGGCUGAUGCCUUGCUGAAGGAAGUCGAGUAUAUCUUGAAGUUUGGCCUUUAGGACAUCAGGAAUAGAUUCUGGAACCAGUGGGUGUGACAAAACUUCUUCUUCUUCGUGGAUUUCCCCUACCUGAAAUGAGAAGAGGCUGCUGUCUGGAGUGUCCUGAGCCUGCAAGGAUCAAUAAGGUAUAAGCUGAUGAAGCUAGUUGAUUGGAAUCAAUUAAUGUGCAAAAGAGUGUUCACCAUCUUCCAUUGGGUUUCUCUGGUUUGUGUUGGUGAUUCCACUAGGGACUCUUGUUGAACUGGUUCUGCGGAGGGUGGCAUGUUCUUGGAAGGUACAUUGACUGCUAGUGUUUCAAGAAUAGCGGCCGACACUUCUGGGAUAGUCUGUAUAGAAAACCGAACGAUUCUUAGCAACGGAGGUUGAGAAGGGUUGGAAUAGAGUAUGCAUUUUACCUCAAGUGUUGGAGUGAUGGCCGAUGCAGUCUCCUGUGUAUCUUUAGCCUGUGGAUCAGCCGAUGAAGGAGGCGGAGGCAUAGCCGAUUCUAGGAUGGGCUCUUCUGGUGCCGAUUGUGCGGAAGGCUAAAAGAAACAAGAGUCAGUACUAGCAAAGUAUCUAGAAAAAAUUAAAUAAGUGAGAUUACCUGCAUAGCCUCUAUCAAAAGUGAUGUAGCUACUGACGCUACUUCCGCUAGAACAGCCGUUUGGGGUGCCACCGCUGCCGUCGGAUCAGUCUCCUGGGCUGACGCUGCUGUCGGCAGGACGGAUGCC